AUAAACUUCAAAUAUCCCCCCGUGCUUUCACAACUUUUUAUUUUAGUAUUUUAUUAUUUAAAGUGUAUCAAGUCAGUACCAUGUAGUUUUAUUUAUUUAUAUUUAUUAUUUUUUUUAUUAAUUUUUUUAUUAAAUCAGUGACAAAGUUAAAAAUGAAGGAUACUAAAGUGAAUAUUCGAUAAAUCUAGGUAGGGUAUUUGAAGUUUUUCGUAUAUAAUUUAACGAAAUAUUAACGAAAAAAAAAUCAGUGAUGAAGUUAAAACUAUAAGGUACUAACGUAAAUAUUCGAUAAACCUAGAUAGGAUAUCUGAAGUUUUUUUGCAUAUAAUUUAACAAAAUAUUAACAGAGGAGUCGACGAAAAGAGAAAAAUAAAACCAUAAAGUACUAAAUUGAUACACUUUAAACCAUAGGGUACUAAAGUGAGAAAGUACGAAACCACAUGGUACUAAAUUUAUAUACUUUAAACCACCGAGUAAAGUGAAAAAGUGCGAAAUCACAUGGAUGACAUUUGAAGUUUUUCCAAAAUUCAAUAAUAGAAAAAAAAUGCUAAAUUAUAGAAAAAAAAUCCAUACAUACUCAGUUUUUUUUUUUACUUAACAUUUCUAAUUUUGAAAAACCUAUAUUCUGUUCCUUGAAAUUUAUGGCAUUAAUGAAGAAGACAAAAUGAUCAAAUUAUUUUUUUAUACAAAAUAUUUUUUAAUACAUUUCUGUUAUUUUUAAGGAUAUUUUGGGUAUAAAUUAUAAAAAUGGGCGGAAUAGUGAUUGAAUCUUGACCGAGGGGAAUUAAAUGCAACAAUUUAAAAUAUUAAGAAAGUAAAAUAUAGGUUUUUAAAAAUUAUGAAGGAAAGUAAAAUAGAUAUUUAUAAUGAAGUUUUUUUUUUUUUGUAAUUUAGCAUAUAUUUAUAUAUAUAUAUAUAUAUAUAUAAUAUCAGGUUGCGCAUAUUAGUUGGUUAAAAUAUAUUAUUAAACAAAAACUUUAAUAGGGAACUUUUCAAUAACGUUUCGUUAAGAAGGCCUAAUCCAUCGUCGCGUGUUAUUUUUAUUUUUAUUCAAGGGUUAUCAUAGUUCAUCUUACUAGGAUUCUAAUAAAUUAUUUUUUAUAUUUUACCACUAAAAAAUACCCAAAGAACGAUUGGAUGAAGACAAAAUUAAUAUGUAGCAGUGAAUCAAGGCUCUCCCAACGAGGUGUCGUUUGGGAAGUUAUAUACUAAAGUUUUAUCCAUAUUUUUGAACAAUAUUAUUUCUGUACUUAUAGGAUAGGUCUUCUAAUUUUGUUAUUAUUAUUAUUUUUACUAAAAUCCAAUUAGGUUUUGUCAACAGAGAGUAUUCUAGUAAUAUUUUUCUAUAUAUUUUAUAGUCAUAUCCAAAAAAAAAUAUUUCUAUAUAUACUUUCGUUUAAUUUUUGUCUUAUUUAAUAAUAUCACAUGAUCUUAAAUAUCAAGCAGACUCUAAUUAGUCUACGAGAUCUCUAGGAAUUAUUAUUAUUUUUUUUAACCUGAGAUAUCAUUUAAAUUUAUUUAGAGCCAACCAGGCUAGAAAUAGAAAUAAAAAUUAUAGAAAUUGAAUUAAUAUUGUUUGGUAAUUAAAAUAUAGUUGCUAUUUUUCAUAAUUGGUUAAAACAUAUGGAAGUGAGAUACACCCUUAAACUUAUCAUCAUUAUCAUUUUUUUUACAACAACUCCUUAAUCCUAGAUUUUUUUUAAUUUGAGUUAUUCUAAUUAGUUAUUAAAAUUAAUCAUUUUGUUAACUAUGAGUCGUUAUUUUGUUAGUUUUAUUUAUCAAAAAAAAAUUAAUUAAAUCUAAAUUAUUAGAAUCACCAAUAAUCAGGUGCAUGUAUGGUCUAUUCAACAAGUAAUACGUGUGAACGGUGCACCGGGCGCACGCAACGAAUUAUUUACAAAAGCGUUCAAACCAAAGCUCUUACGUGUCAGAAUAGUAUUGGCCCAUAAGCCCGUUUCCUGUUCCGGUCCCACACAGCCGAUCGGUCCACAUCUUUUUCGUGCUAAUAAAUGCCUUUCGGAAAUUGCCGGUUCGCGGAUUCCGCUGCGGCAAAAGUCGACAAAACGUCUCCGAAUUCGGUGGGCCCCACUGCAUAAGCGCAGGUCCGUACCCACUCGGCUUAUCAAUUGCUGAUAAGGAGAUGUACGUAUCACACGCGAUAAGCGAAUGCGGUUAUUCCUUCUGAGGAACCCCCACCUCUCUUUCUCUCUCUCCCAACCCCUAUAAAUUGGACAUCGCUGGAUCUGUAAUUUUGGAUAUUUUUAUUUAAUAAUUUUUGUUUUUUAUUUUUUAUUUUUUUUUUAUUUAAAGCUAUUAUUUAAAGUCGACUAAUUAUUCCCUAGAGCUCUCGCCGCCUCUGGUCUUCGCAUCUCCCCUCUCUCUCCUCUCUCUCUUUGGCGCCUCGUCUUCGUGAAUCGAUCGAUCGAUCUCCGUCGCAAUCGGAGGUAACGCCUCGAUCUUUUGCCUCGCAUUUUUUGCUAAUUUUUCCGUGGAUUUUUUGGUGAAAAAACCCGAUUUUUUCACGCCGAUCCCGGUUUCUGGAAGGUUUUUGCGCCAUCGGUGCGUCAAAACCCUAGAUUUUGGGUCCUGCUUGGAGCCGGCGCGGUGGAUCUCGUCCGUCGAGUAAACGAGGGUUUGGUUUGUGGCUUUGUGCCGUUGUUUCGUUUUUCUUUGGUUUGAUUGCGUUUGGGGUGUAAUCGACGAGGAAUUCGUCUUGUUGCUGUGGUUUAGAUCCGUGAUGUGUGAUAAAGGGGGUUCUUUGGUGGGAUUUUAGGGUUUUUUCUUUGGGGUAAUGGUUGUUGAUUUAUGUGGUUCUUUUGUGAUGAUUUAGGGUUUGGAGCCCCCGGUGAUGCGAUGUCGUCUCUCAGUAGGGAGCUGGUUUUCUUGAUUCUGCAGUUCCUCGAUGAAGAGAAGUUCAAGGAGACCGUCCACAAGUGGGUUUCGAUCAUUGGCCCUCGAUUUCUUCAUCUCUUUAUUUUCUCGCUUUGAUUUUGGAUGUUGAAUAUGAAAUGUUAAAACACAGUUAUAAUGAUUAUUUAACAUUUAACAUACUACUUACACUGUGAUGUCCUGAGUUCAAAUCCUAUAAGGUUCCUAAUGUUAUUUAAUUUUCUCCCAUGUAAUUCUAGUUCGCGUUUUGAGAUUGUCAAUAUGUCUUAAGCUGAGGCACGGCGGGAAGCCUCGAAUAAAAGAUAGUAAAACACCGUUCGCUAGCAAAUUAAGCAUUUUAACGGGAAAAAAAAAAGAUUAUGUACGACGUCGGAGUGAAUUAGUUCUAAUUUUAUGUCUUUUUCCAGGCUUGAGCAAGAAUCAGGCUUCUACUUCAAUAUGAAGUAUUUCGAGGAAGAGGUGCAGAAUGGGAACUGGGACGAAGUGGAGCGGUAUCUUGGCGGCUUCACUAAGGUCGACGAUAACCGGUAUUCGAUGAAGAUCUUCUUUGAAAUUCGGAAGCAGAAGUAUCUUGAGGCCCUGGAUAAGUAAGGAAGAGACUCGAACUUCUCUCGUAUACUAGAAUUUUACUUCUCGAAAUAUGUGGCAAGCGUUGAUUGGACGUCUUUAAUUGUAGGCAUGAUCGGGCAAAGGCGGUUGAGAUUCUCGUGAAGGACUUGAAAGUUUUUGCAUCUUUUAAUGAGGAGUUAUUCAAGGAAAUUACACAGCUUUUGACUUUAGAGAACUUUAGGUAUCCGAUGGUAAAAUUUCCUUUAUUACAUAUGUUGCAGUAGAUGAAUGGUUGAUGCAUGACGUUGUACUAUACUGUUUCAGAGAAAAUGAACAGCUUUCCAAGUAUGGCGAUACAAAGUCGGCAAGAUUGAUAAUGCUUGUUGAGCUCAAGAAACUGAUCGAGGCAAAUCCUCUCUUCCGCGAUAAAUUGCAGUUUCCUAAUUUAAAGAACUCUAGACUGCGUACUCUUAUCAACCAGAGGUAAAACUGGAAAUGAACUUGCUAAAGUUCGUUCUUUUUUUUUUUUUAAAGAAAAAAAUUUAAAUGAUGGUAGUUUUGCAGUUUCAUGUAACUUUAUCCCUUUGCAGGGACUAACAAUUUACAUGCAGGCAAUUGUUUUUAUUGUUUCUUAUUGUUUUGUUCAUACUGGUUCUGGUAACAAACUUUUACCCUUCAUUUCUGUGACGGAGUUACAUAUAGAGGAUGCAUACGAGGACAAGUUUGUCGAAGUUCCUUUUUACACCCGUAAUUUCUAUUUGGAAAGAAUAUACUGCAUUUGAGGAUGAUAUUAUAUACUUACAUACAAACUGAUAUGCUCUUAUAUAUUAUACUCGAUACUCGAUGGGGAAAUAAAUAUGUUGUUUGAGCUAUUCGCCUUAUAUUACAUGGACAUAGUCAAAAGGUUAGAUAGGUUUCUUCAGAAUCAUACAUAGUUUGAUGUUCAAGAAAGUAGGUUGGCCUUUGUCAGCGUAGAUCUCAAGUUAGCUGAAAAGGCUCAUUUAUUAAUUGUCCACCCAGUGCAAUUUUGUCUUGUUUCUCAUUUGAACCAACUUCCUCCAACUUCCUUUUUUGGUUUAACUUUUGUAUCUCGAAGAUCCUAGUUUUAUUUGACCGACUGUCCCUAUGCAGGUGACAAAGGGCUUAAAGCUUGGUCCCCGAGGCCCCAAAUUCGAAGUCUAGUUAUUUUAUAUUUUUAGCUAAGUUCAUUUGUUAAAAAAUGAACAAAGCGGGUAGCAUGCUAUCUUUCUCUCUUUUUCUCAAACAAGGAGGAUUCUAGCUCUAUUUGAUGUUACGAGACUCGAGUUUUUAAAUGUAGAUCUUUGGCUUAGUUGUGGUUGUAUUGCUUAUUUUUUUCUACCAUUAGAAAUUUUUUAAUUCAAUGUAUUGGAAACCAUAUGAUCUCUAAGUGGGGGCUUAAUAUUCUUACUUAAUCUGUGGCAGCUUAAACUGGCAGCACCAGCUGUGCAAAAAUCCUAGGUCAAAUCCUGAUAUUAAGACCCUUUUUGUUGAUCAUUCUUGCGGACAACCGAAUGGUGCCCACGCUCCGUCAACUGCAAGCAAUCCGCUACUUGGCUCUAUGCCUAAAGCAGGAGGUUUUCCUCCGUUGGGUGCACACGUAAUUAACCUGAAUUUUUAUCUAAAAAUGUUUUCUUCUUUUAAGAUACUUAUCUCAUGAACUUUGGUUAUGGUUGUUUCAGCCUUUCCAACCUACACCAACACCAGUUCCUACACCCCUCGCUGGUUGGAUGUCUAACUCUUCGGCUGUAACUCAUCCUGCUGUCUCUGGUGGGGCUAUUGGACUUGGCGCUCCAACGAACCCUGGUAUUUUAAUUUUUCUAUAUUUGUUAAUUUCAUCUGGUAGUCCUGAUUCUUGGUUUAACUUUUAAAUGUUAUCGUCCUUUUUUUUAGCUGCAAUAUUGAAGCAUCCCAGAACACCAAAUACCAACCCUGUUAUGGAUUAUCCUUCAGCUGAUUCUGAACAUGUAUCCAAACGACCUAGGCCCAUUGGAAUUUCUGAUGAGGUAUAUGCGACGUCUGCUUCAUUUCCUUAUGCCAUCUUUAUCUCAUCCAGCUUAAUACGUCUUUUUUAAGCCAUUCUAAUGGUACUUUUGAUGAUUCAUCAUUUAACACAGGUUAAUCUACCAGUGAAUAUAAUGCCAGUAACCUAUCCCCAGAGUCAUAGUCAAUCUAUGUACACGACAGAUGACUUGCCCAAAACUGUUGCAAGAGCCCUAAAUCAGGGAUCAACUCCUAUGAGCAUGGAUUUUCAUCCGUUGCAGCAGACUCUACUUCUUGGUAGACUUUCCCUCAUCAACUCGAUCAUUGUUUCAUUUCUGUUUUGAUUUAUUUGAAUCAUUCUUAUCUGUUGCUUCAUACCGGCAUUCGUGUUCUGUUUUAGUCGGUACGAACGUGGGUGACAUAGGGUUGUGGGAUGUCGGUACCAGGGAGAGAUUGGUUUCAAGGAAUUUCAAGGUCUGGGAGCUUGGAAAAUGUUCCCUGACCCUCCAGGUUAGUUCCUAAGCGAGGCGAUUUGUGGUUGCACAAUGACUUUCUUGUACAUCUUGUACAUUUAAAUCAAUAAUUGAAAUUGAUAAAUUAUAGGCCACUCUAGUUAAGGAUCCUGGUGUGUCAGUUAACCGUGUAAUAUGGAGUUCGGAUGGCUCGUUAUUUGGUAAGCUUAUACAAGUCAAAAAUCUCUUUUACCUCCCAUUUUCCUACAACUGUUGCAUAGUAAUACUUCCUCACUGUUACAGGUGUUGCUUAUUCGAGGCAUAUCGUACAAAUAUAUUCUUAUCACGGUGGUGAUGAGACUAGACAGCACUUAGAGGUUUGAUUCCUCAACAUUUUCUGCUUGUCAAAUAGACGGUUACUCUGUGGAUUUGAUACAUUCUGCCAUGUUAACUGCAGAUUGAUGCACAUACUGGGGGUGUCAACGACAUUGCAUUUGCUAUUCCCAAUAAGCAGCUGUGCAUUAUAACCUGUGGUGAUGACAAGACAAUUAAGGUAUGCUUCUGAUGCAUGGAUCUCUUGGAUGUAUAUCUCGCUUAUGCUUACAGUAAUUGAUAUAUUCUUCUGCAAUAUUGUAGGUGUGGGACGCGACUAGUGGAACUAAACAAUAUACCUUUGAAGGUCAUCAGGCACCUGUUUAUUCUGUUUGCCCACAUUACAAAGAGAGCAUUCAGGUAUGUACAUAGUUUUGACAUAUUUUAAGUAAAAUCAAACUAAAUUCUACAUUUUUAAGUGCCUGUUUUGCCUAGCUUGUAGAAAAUCUUCUCUACUCCAAGAAGCAAAAGCAAGGUAUUUGGCAAAUACGAAGUUUGGAGCUUUUGCUAUGGCACGAAGUUUAUAUGGGCUGCCAGUCCCCGAAAGCAAAAGCUCUAACUUUCAGAAUUUUCUUUUGCCGUAGUGGGAAGCUGUAAAAGGACUUUUUUGGGAAAGCUAUUAAUCUGUUAUUGAACAACUAACUUGAACAACAUUUUUGCAAGCUCCAUCCGGGCCUCCUUGGCCCUUGAUUUGUAAUAUUGCUAUAUUAAGAUGCCUUAAUAGUGCCGUAUUAACUUUUUUUCUGUAAUUUUUUUUUGCAGUUCAUUUUUUCAACUGCAUUAGAUGGAAAGAUCAAGGCAUGGUUAUAUGACAAUGCGGGAUCUAGAGUGGAUUAUGAUGCUCCUGGACAUUGGUGUACUACAAUGGCUUAUAGCGCUGAUGGUUCCAGGUUCAUAUUCCUGAUGUGGCACUUAUUUAUGCAGCCAGAUGUCGGUGCUUCUGUAUCCGUAUUGACUCAUCUUUAUGCUUAUUCAUUGCAGGCUCUUCUCCUGUGGGACAAGCAAAGACGGAGAAUCAUACAUUGUCGAGUGGAAUGAGAGUGAAGGAGCCGUAAAGAGAACAUACCAUGGGUUUAGAAAACGAUCUUUGGGUGUUGUGCAGUUUGAUACCACUAAGAACCGGUUUUUGGCUGCUGGCGAUGAGUUCUUAAUCAAGUUAUGGGAUAUGGAUAACACUAAUCUUUUGACAACUAUUGAUGCUGAUGGUGGCCUACCGGUAUUUGUAGUUUUUUUUUUUUUUUUUUUGCUUUUUUUGUGGAAAAUUUACUUGUGAUAUUUUGCAUGGAAAGUAGUAAAAAAUAACCUUUCUUCCUCUGUUAUUAGGCGAGUCCGCGGAUACGCUUUAACAAGGACGGUACAUUGUUGGCUGUUUCCACUCAUGAUAAUGGGAUUAAGAUCUUGGCAAAUGCCGAUGGGCUUCGUCUGCUGCGUACGUUUGACAACCGUUCUUUUGAUCCAUCCAGGACUCUUUCAGAAGCAGUGUCCAAGGUAACGCAUUGUUAGUACUAUAAUCAUUAAAUUGGGCUUGACCUAAGAUUUAGUGAAAUAUAACUUAGUCUGUUCUCUAUGAGCAGCCCAUAGUAAGUCCAAUAACUGCUGCUGCUGCCGCUGCCGCUGCCGCCGCUGCUGCUGUUGCAACUAGUUCAGGAAUGGCAGAUAGAGCUGCUCCUUCUAUGACUAUUGCUGAGAUGGUAUGUGGAUGUCCGUCUUAAUUUUUCUAAAUAGUUAAUGUUUUCGUAAUCUCUUCUUAUGCACUAAGUAUAAACCAUUUUUGAUAGAACGGGGACAGCCGAAACUUGGUGGACGUAAAGCCUAGAAUAGCUGAUGAGUCAAUCGAUAAAUCAAAGAUCUGGAAGCUUACUGAAAUCAGUGAACCGACUAAGUGUAGAUCUCUAAGGCUCGUGGAUAAUUUGAGGACAAGCAAGGUAAUGCUUCUUUGAUGGGUUUUCUGUUCCUAUUAUCCUUAUAAUCUGUGACUUUUGGAUGUCCAUUUCCUGUGCAUCAAAUACAUACAGUAACAAAAGUUUUAAAUUUAAAAGCAGUCCCAUUGUUCUCAAUCUAGAUGAAAAAUUCCUAGCAAUGCUCUAUUAAUUUGGUAUAUUCCAAAAUCCAAACCGUUGGUAGAACCAAACUCCUUGUACCUAUUAUUAUAUUGUCAACUUUGAGACCCUGUUUGAUUUUCAGGUAAAGGAGUACCAAAAUCUAUGAGUUUUAAUUUCUGCUCACUCCAAAUAGUUGAGAUCAUUUCUAAUAAUAUGUAUCUUGUCUUCCAUAUUAAUGUCGUAACUCGUAACAUGGAUUUUGAUUUCUGACUGAGAAUACGGUAUUUUCUUUUCAGUUUUUAUGCCACCAGGAACUUCAGUCUUAGCUUGAAAAAAGUUCUUUCAUAUCGUCUCAUAAACUAUCUUUUAACUGCAGAUCUCAAGAUUGAUUUAUACAAAUUCUGGUGUCGCAAUCUUGGCUUUAGCAUCAAAUGCUGUCCAUCUGCUUUGGAAGUGGCCCCGUAAUGAGCGAAAUUCAACUGGAAAGGUGAACCUUUUACUGCUCAUAUAUUUCUUUUUUAUGCAACAAGCUUAACAAGUUUGUAAAGCCGGCAUAAAUUAUGACUUUUUUUUUCCCCCUUCCUAUGGCCUCUCUUUGUAGGCAACUGCAAGUAUUCCUCCCCAACUAUGGCAACCACCAAGUGGCAUUUUGAUGACUAAUGACAUAACUGAUGUGAAUCCUGAGGAAUCAGUUCCGUGCUUUGCUUUGUCGAAGAACGAUUCGUAUGUCAUGUCUGCUUCAGGUGGAAAAAUUUCGUUGUUCAACAUGAUGACAUUUAAGGUAGGUGUAUAUAUUGUAUAUUUAAUAUGUAAAUUUACUAAGGUAUAUAAUGGUAAAACAUCUCACUACAAAAAUAUCGCUCUUUCAUUUUUGCUUGACGAGUGCAGACAAUGACGACAUUCAUGCCUCCACCGCCGGCGGCAACAUUUCUUGCCUUCCACCCUCAAGACAAUAAUAUAAUUGCCAUAGGAAUGGAGGAUUCUACAAUCCAAAUCUACAAUGUGCGAGUUGAUGAGGUAUUAUUAUAUACUAUCUAACCAGCGAGUUUCGAUAUAAUUGCUUGGCAGAUAAUCGCCUGGAAUAAACGAACCUACCUAUCCUUCUUUUUUGCAGGUUAAGAGCAAACUUAAAGGGCACUCGAAGAGAAUUACGGGUCUUGCAUUCUCGAAUGUGUUGAAUGUGCUGGUCUCUUCUGGAGCUGAUGCUCAGGUUCUUGAGUGAACUUUCCUUCAGUCAAAUGAGCACGAACUAGAAUCACUUUUCAAUCUAGUCGUAGAUUAUAGUACUCUUCUGUAAAUUGUGUGGUUAGUUUCUUACAGAAUAUACAUGUCUUUUUGCCGUAGAUAUGUGUGUGGGGCACUGAUGGGUGGGAGAAGCAAAGAAGCAGGUUUUUGCAGAUUCCUUCUGGGAGUGCCACAACAAAUAAUUCAGAUACACGGGUUCAGUUCCAUCAAGAUCAAAUACACUUUCUCGCUGUCCAUGAGACCCAAAUCGCUAUAUAUGAGACAACUAAGCUAGAGUGUGUGCACCAGGUAAUUUUUUACCCUUACAGGUUUACGAUAUGAACUACUUAGUUUCUGUUUGGCUAAUUGACGGCCUCUUUGUUGUUCAGUGGUUCACUCGUGAGAACACUGCGCCAAUUUCGCACGCCACAUUCUCGUGCGAUAGUCAGCUGAUCUACGCUAGCCUUCUCGAUGCCACCGUGUGCAUAUUUUCUGCCUUGGGCUUAAAAUUGCGGUGCCGAAUUCUUCCAGCUGCUUAUCUCCCACCGAAUCUCAGGUACUUUGUUUGAAAAUUUUGGCUUGUGGAGUCGUCCUGCCAAAUGGCUGGUUUUUUAAAACCACCACUUGCUGAUUCAUCUGCUGCAUCUUCCUAGCACGUCCGUCCAUCCGCUUGUGAUCGCGGCUCAUCCAUCGGAACCGAACCAGUUUGCAUUAGGGCUGACAGAUGGUGGUGUCCAUGUGUUGGAGCCGCUAGAAUCCGAAGGGAAAUGGGGAGUUCCUCCGCCCACAGAGAACAGCUCCACAGGCAGCGUGCCCGAACCGGCGCCCGCUGGUGCCUCAACCUCUGAUCAACCACAGAGAUGAUCGAAGAGAGGCGGAACUUUUUUAACCCCUUCUAGUUUUACCCUUCAGAGUAACUAACCGAGGUAUGCCGCCAAAUUGCUUUUCUUUCCCUUUUUUUGGCUUAAUUACACUCUAUUACACCAUAGUUGGUACGUCUUUUUAUACUUUCUACACUAUAUAUAUAUAUAUAUUUUUUCCGAAGGUAUCAGUAUAUUAUUAUAUUUUAUCAAUCUCUACACUGUAUUUUAAACUUAUUUUUCUUUUUCUAUCUUCUAAUAUUUUCGUUUCUCAUAGAUAUCACUAAACUAUUUUUUUUCUCGCUAAUCUCUUCAUUUCUAUUAAUAAACCUACAUUACCAUUGAUAAAUCUAUUCUGAAACCUAGCAAUCGUAUUAAAAAGCACUGACUAAAUAAUGGAAAAAAAUAUAAAACAAAUCUUCAUGGUAGACUCAUUGAAAACUUCUAUUAAAUUAUUUUCAACUAUUAUUUUGUCGGUUUUAUGCAUUUUGUUACUUUUUUUUUUUUUAGUAAAAUGAGCUGAAUAUAUGUUCUACCACUUUAAAUCAGUAUUUUUUAAUAAUUUUUAUUUAAAAUUAUAGAUUUAUUGUCUACAUUAUAGAAAAUGAAAAGAAAAAAAAACCUAUAGAGUACAGCGUAGUAAAUAGUGUAAUUAAGUCUUUGUUUUUUAAAUUUUAUAUCAGCAAAAUAAUAAUUUAAUAAUAAUUACUUUUAUUUCUUCAAAUGUGCAGAUGGACCUUGAAAUUAUGUAAUAGCCUCUCAAAAUAGCAGGUUGUAGAUGACAAAAAGAUGCUCACAUAGUAAGUUCAGCUGUGUCUUAUUGUGCUUGUUGGCCUGGUAUCUCUUCAUGUAUCGCGGCCGGCGAAGAAAAUGUUUGGCAACAUUGUUUACAUUAUUCUGUUUGGUUCCUGCAAAAGAGUAAAGUCUCCUUCGACGCGGAGGAGAAUACUAUAACAUGAACAUGGAGUUUGUCUUAAGAAUGUAAUUUCUCAUUUUCUAUCGCAAAAGUGUUGUUCAUUUCUCAUCUUUUAAGCUCUUUUUGGUUUAUCUCUCUAGGACUUACCUUGGCAAGUUGAAAUGAGCUUCAUAGUCUCCAAAAAGCAGAACCUUCAGUACAGUUUCUGCUCCUGCUGCUGCUCCUGCUCCUGCUCCUGCUGCAGCUUAAAGCUAUUUGGAGGGCUUUAUCACUAAACCCUAAUUUAUCUAAACUCUGCAUAGAUUGAUUUAAGUUGGUCGUUUGCAAAUUUGGUGUGUUCUUUUAUGCCUUUUAGGUUAACUGAUGUUAAUUGGAUCUUCUGAAAAUAGGAUGUGUACACUUCAGUUACAUUCCCUUCCAGAGUAUGUUAAUUUGGCAGUUGAUGAAUUCAUAUUCUAAAACUAUACACACAAAUUCUAGUCUAGUAUGGAAUUAUAGAAUCCUUUCAUAGAACUCACAUAAAUAAAAUUAGGGAGGGAGCACCUCAAAUAAAUAAAUGAAUAAAUAAAAAGCAUGAAAAUAUCCACAGUAAAAAUAUCUUAGGCUAAAUGGUAACAUAAUCCUAUAUAUACAGGGCAACAAAAAUAAGCGAGAUAGCAAGCAAAAAAAAAUUAACAAGGUAAGGCACCCCUCCCCUCUCUCUCACUUCCCCUCUCUCUCUCUCUCUCGGCCAUGGCGGCGGCGGCGGCGACGUUCUCCACCGACUUAGCCACCGCCUUCUUCGGCGCGGCGCCGGAGCUUCGCCGCGCUCCGCCUCCGAUCCCUCCCUCUCCUCUCCCUCCGCCCCCGGCCCCCCGCCACCGUCGCCGCCGCGCGCUCCUCCGUGCUCGGCUCCGGCCGCCGAUCGCCGGCGCGAGGGUUCGCCGCCUCAGCCUCAGCCUCCGCCGGCGCGGCGACGGAUGAGGGCGCCGACGUCCUGACGAGGGUUCCGCCCGACGACCGCGUACCCGCCACCAUCAUCACCGGGUUCUUGGGCUCCGGGAAGGUGAGAAAACAAGCUAAUUGGAUUCUGUGUUCUGUGCUCUAUCACAACUUACUUUUGAUUUUACUAUCGAAUCUCGAUAUAUGAUGUAUCCAAACUCUUUGGAAAGUUUCGACAUCUCUGCCUGAAAUGAUUUCAGCAAUUACAAUUACAGCUGUUUGUUUGGCUCCGCGCAUUUGGAAGCACUGCGGAUGCCACUGUUUUUGAUUAAAUAUAUCAUUCAACCAUUUAUGUUGGGUGUUGAGUUUAUGGUUAAUGUAUAGGAAAUGAUCAGAUAGUCACUCCUGCAACUUUAGGAAGCAAAAAAAAAAAAGAAAGAAAAAUCUGGGAAUAAAUGCCUAAAAGCCUCAAUUUACUCGACAUUUUUACGUGGAAUAAAUGAGUGGUCUUUUUAUUGUAUUAUUACUACAUAUCUAGAGCUGGAAGAGAAGAUGAUAAUUUUGUAGGUAAUCCUAUCUAAUGUCUUCUAAGUUGAACUCCAUCUUGAUGCCUAUGUGGCAAUUGGUGGCUUUUUAAUAUUCAGUAGAUAAUUUCCAACAUGUUAGAAUGUUCCAUAUAUAUAUAUAUAUAUAUAUAUAUAUAUGAGCAGAGCUACUAUGCUAUCGGAAGCGUAGAGAAUCUGAUGCUUCCGAUUUUUGGCCGUUAGAUCAGCCCUUUUAAUCAUUUUUAACCUUUGGAUUAAUACUAUUACCCUGUGGGGACCACUUAACCCUAGGGGUACUACUCAACCCUGAGGGGAACGCAAUCAUCCCAACCGUAUAAUUUUUAAUCCAAGGGUCAAAAUAUCGGAAGCAUCAAAUGCUCUAUACUUUCGAUAGCAUAGUAGCUCUACACUAUAUAUAUAUAUAUAUAUAUAUAUGCUACUAUACUAUCAAUAGUACCAAGUCCUUGGUACUAUUGAGUUUUCGGCCGUUAGAUGAAAGGAUGUGCGGUUAGGAUGAUAGUGGUCCCCUAGGGUUGAGUGGGUGGGUNAUAUAUGAGUCCGACUACUAUACUAUCGAUAGUACCAAGCCCUUGGUACUAUUGAGUUUUCUACCGUUAGAUCUACCCUUUGAUCAUUUCCACCCGUUAGAUUAUACUAUUAAACCAACCACCCACCCACUCAACCCUAGGGGACCACUAUCAUCCUAACCGCACAUCCUUUCAUCUAACGGCCGAAAACUCAAUAGUACCAAGGACUUGGUACUAUUGAUAGUAUAGUAGCAUAUAUAUAUAUAUAUAUAUAUAUAGUGUAGAGCUACUAUGCUAUCGAAAGUAUAGAGCAUUUGAUGCUUCCGAUAUUUUGACCCUUGGAUUAAAAAUUAUACGGUUGGGAUGAUUGCGUUCCCCUCAGGGUUGAGUAGUACCCCUAGGGUUAAGUGGUCCCCACAGGGUAAUAGUAUUAAUCCAAAGGUUAAAAAUGAUUAAAAGGGCUGAUCUAACGGCCAAAAAUCGGAAGCAUCAGAUUCUCUACGCUUCCGAUAGCAUAGUAGCUCUGCUCAUAUAUAUAUAUAUAUAUAUAUAUAUAUACUGCUUAUGUUUUUAUUUGGAUUUUUUUUUUUCAUGAACAGACGACUUUGUUGAAUCAUAUCUUGACAGCCGAGCAUGGAAAACGCAUAGCAGUUAUCGAAAACGAGGUAUGUUAUUUUUUUUUUGAAGUUUCAUGAACUAUGCUUGUAAUUGGCUGGGCUGCUGAUGACUGAAAUGUGCACUAGCAAAGUUUGCAUUGAUAUCUGUCGGUGAAUGCAUAUAUGAACGGGUAUUUGCAAUAAAAGGGUCGAUUCUCGAUUCAUGUUUUCUUUCUACUCUCAUGUACUUUUGCUGUGAUAUUUGGUAUAUUUGUGAUUUCCCAUGUUACGAUACCAGAUGGUUUAUUUAUCUUCGUCUCACUCUAUUGUUCUCUUACAGUUCGGAGAAAUUGAUAUAGAUGGUUCUCUUGUUGCCGCAAAAACUACUGGAGUUGAAGAUAUCAUUAUGCUCAAUAAUGGUUGCCUUUGCUGUACCGUGAGGGGCGAUCUUGUCCGAAUGAUUGGUGAAUUGGUUGAUAAGAAGAAGGGAAAGUUUGAUCACAUUGUGAUAGAAACUACAGGUUGUGGGUCUAUAGAAUUUUUUUUUUUGGCUAAAAUUACGUAAUCUAGGUCCUCAUAGUAGAUAACUUUCUUUCCCUUUUUUCCUCUGAUUCUCUUAAUGCAUAUAAUGUCGUCUCUUGGUAACAUGUGUUUUGUAUGUUAGGAUAACUGAAGCCAUUAGCUUUUUAUUUUCACACUUGUUUAGCUAUGUUUCGCAGCUUCUCUUGUCAUCCAAUGUUAUAUUUGGAUACUGCUAUCAAUCAGUAGUAGAGUGCAAGUGCAUUCUUAAACUGGGCAAUUAUAGCACUGAAAAAGGGGGAGAAAAAAACACUAUAUGACAAGAUAUAAGUUGUAGCACAGAAAUGAAUGUAACAACCAAAAAUGGAAUUAAGUUGUUAACAAACUAGGUAGCAGCAAUAGCAGUUAGUUCUGGAAGUGAAUUAUGAAGACAAUUAACACAAUGAAAGUGCAAAAAAAAUUGUAUUUAAUUGUUAAAUCUCAGGUCACAAAUAACAAGGAAGCGAAUAUGUUACCCUGGCUGUCCUUGUAUUUCAACUAUUUGUAUCUUCAAAUUAGCUUUCAAACUUGUCUAUUGUAGGGCUCAGUCUAACUGCUAGCAGUGCUAAAUGGUCAUUACUGAUGCAUGAGUCAAAAAAAUUCAAUGAAUUAGGAUCUUAAUCCUGCUAUUCUUUUCCCCUUAGAACCCAACUUCCUUAUUCAAGGAUCUUAUUGUUUACCAAAAUGGUCUGAAAUGGCACUUUUAUUUUCCUUGGUGAUGUUGGUGAUCCAACACAUAUUAGAUUUGACAGUCAAUGCCAUUCGUAUGUACUCUGCAUAGAUCCUUCCAAGAACUCACAGAGACUCGACUGAAUCCUUUCUUUGUUCUAGUUGACCUUUUACUUGCUUUUGGGCUUUGUUUAUACUCUCUUAUCCUUUUUUUACGAGAUUUUCAGGUUUAGCCAACCCAGCACCUAUUAUCCAGACAUUUUAUGCGGAGGAUAAAAUAUUCAACGAUGUCAAGCUGGAUGGUGUUGUAACUUUGGUUGAUGCGAAGCAUGCGGGUUUUCAUUUGGAUGAGAUAAAGCCCAAAGGUGUAGUCAACGAGGCUGUUGAGCAAAUUGCGUAUGCUGACAGAAUUAUAGUGAACAAGGUGAUGUUUAUUUUCUGCUUGAAGUUAAUUAUUAUAGCAGGUGGUCAUUCAGAUGAAAUAGUUGCUGUUAAACAUCCACCUCAUGAUUUUGAAUUACCGUUUGUUGGGAUGUCAGGCCAGUCUUUUAUUACGGGAUUCGCUUUUGGCGAUUCCAUGAAUAUGUUAUUAUUAGAUUCUGUAUAACCUUUUGUUCUAUAUUGAUCUAGGUGCUAUCAAGCAAGAGUUUAUCUUGUCUGCUGUAACAUUCCUCUGACAAAAGUAAAAUUGCAAAAGAUUCUUCUGUGCUUUGAAAGUUGUUUGCUCGAUGGUGGUCCUAAAAGUCGUCAAUUUUUUACUUCAUAUUUCCAAUUCGUGUUACUUCAAUUACCACUAUUUAGUUCUCAUAAUUGAGGUUCUGAAAAUACCAGAUUUAUGGAGAGCUUAAAAAUUCAACAGUUCAAUUUAUACAUCAUGAUUUGUAUGGGGCAUGGUGUUUAAACAAUGCUCAACAAUGUCCAGUCCACAUCAUUGUGUUGUGCUGUUCAACUGUGAGGUGCUGUGAUCACAUACUAUGACUAAGCAAAAUAUAUCGAUGAAGUCAUUUUGACCGGAUGUUUUUCAAGUUUCAACUUUGAACAAGGAACACUGGAUUAGAUAAAAGAAUAUUCCAGUGAGUUGCCUAUAAUCAUGAGAACUGAAGUCACAUUUCUACAGAAAAAUAUAGUAGUAAGUGACCUGCUGCAGUUCUAGUCUUUGUUCCUGCUUGAACUAUUACUGUUCAAAAUUUUUGUCGAUUCAUAUCUUCGCUUUUUUGGCUCUCAUGAUUCUGUGUUAGGCUCUUUUUGAAGUCUCUAACACUGGCUAACUGGCUAUGUAAUCAAGGACUAAUGGUUUGUUUUUUUUUGGGUAUGUGUAGACUGACCUUGUUGGCGAAUCCGAAGUCUCUUCAUUGGUCCAGCGGAUAAGGGUAAAGCUAGAGCUUCCACUGGCUUAUACUUCUUGUCAUUGCCUUAUGUGGUACUAAUCCUCUUGCUUUGAUGGAUUGCAGAAAAUAAAUCGCAUGGCUCAUUUAAAACGGGCAGAGUAUGGUAGAGUUGAUUUGGAUUAUGUUCUUGGGAUCGGAGGCUUUGAUCUGGAGAGGUUCAUGUCCUCCUUUUUUAAUAACUCUUUUGCUGUAGGAUUGCUCUAACUUUGUGACAUGUGCAAUAUCCACAUACUGGUGGUGAUAACCAAAAUAUUUGACUUGAGGAUACUUGCUGUUACUCUUGUUGACGCAUGCAUAUCAUACAUCUUCAACAAUUUACAUCAUAGAUGUCCAGUUCUUUCAGUAGAAAAGGUGUCCUUCGCUUUGAUGAUUAUUAUAAUUCUAGUUUGUAAAUGUAGCAGUCGAGUUCCGCAUUUAGGUAAAACAGGAUGAUAUACUAUGGCCUCAUUUGGCAUUUGUUUGUUUUUUAUUUGUUUAAAUAAAUUUUUAUAUCAAAAAGUUUAGGAGUGGACAAUGUAUUGAUUGCAACCAUUUCAACCGAAAUGUUUACUUGGCAACAAAAUGUAAAAAUUUGAAAGCAAAACUUUUUUUCCUUCCAAAAUGUUUUUAAACAAGUUAUCAUCUAUUACUUAGCCAGAUGUAUUGUAAACUAGUCAAGAAAAGAAAGUCUUUCUUCCAACACAUCAAAUUAUAUAGAAUUAGUGUUUAAAAACAUACAAUACAAACACGAUACCAAAAGAGGUCUAAGUUUUUUAUUAUGUGGGCAAGGUGAUUGAUUCGUUGACCUUUUCUUCUCAGGAUUGAGAGUGUUGUUAAUUCUGAAGGUUCACAUGAAGACCACCAUGAGCACAAGCACGAUCAUGACCAUCAUCACCACGAGCAUCAUGGCCAUGAACAUGGUACGUCCAAUUUAGUUAUUUUGUCCUGCUAACUUCUAGGCAUUACAAGCAAAGAUGAGGGGGACGAAGAUUUAAGUUGGGAAACUUCAUUACUUGAAACAACAGUCUCGAUUCAAUUCAAGGCAAGAAAUAAGUGGCCAUCAUAGUUUAUAGGAGAAUAGAAGAGUUAAUGUGAAUACGACUCUGAAACACGGUAGGCGACUAAUGUAAUUUCAUUAAAUAAAUCAUCUUGGAAGUCGAAAAUACUGUAAAACACCGGGACUUUCUAGAGGAUAAUUUACAGAAAAUGGCAGCAGGUAUUGACUGGCUAUAAUAGUUGAAAUUGGGGCUGGUUUUGGAGAGCUUUAUAGCCAGACACCUUUUGGUUAGUUCUCUAAUGGACUGAUUCAGUAGACUAUACUGUCUAUUGAAGAGCAACAAAAUUGCUCAUGUUAUCCAUAGUUCUUUAAGCACUUCUACGUAUUGAAAGGUGAGGAAAACAUUUGUUACAGAUCAUCAUGAUGAUUCCCAUGCGCAUGAUCAUACCCACGAUCCUGGUGUGUCUUCUGUGAGCAUUGUUUGUGAAGGGAACCUGGAUCUCGACAAGGUCUUCUUCUAAACCUUUCUAUUUCUUUGCUGCUUACUUUUUGUAACUUUCUUAUGAGGUAAUCUUGUGGUUCAACUGUUAUGCUGCAUACUGGAAGGUAUGAAGCUUAUUUUGUUCUACCAAAUCUACUGCAGGCCAAUAUGUGGCUGGGAACAUUAUUAAUGGAGCGCAGCGAUGACAUAUAUCGGAUGAAAGGACUUCUCUCUGUUAAUGGCAUGCCCGAGAGAUUCGUCUUUCAGGUGAGUAUCAUUAUUUGUUUUUGUAGUCUGUCAUAUUAUCAGUUGCCUCUUAGUAGAAUUUGUACGGAGAAGCAGUUUUAAUUUCCUCGAGUACAUAAACCUCUUUGACUGUGCUUUAUCAUGCACAUGCUCAUCUAAAGAAGAACUCAAAUUACUUUGUGGUAGUAUUGUUGGCAUUUUUCUGCACAUUAUGAUUUAACAAUUUCUUUUCCUCUUCAAGCCUUGUUUUUAACAUUCUCCAAACUAUUUCUUCUCCUCUUCACUCAGGUUGAGCUGAACUUACUAUUUCACUUCAUUUUAAUAUGUUUUUCCCUUUCGUAUUCUCCGACAGGGAGUUCACGACAUUUUCCAGGGAUCUCCUGAUCGAUUGUGGGGCCCGGAAGAACCGAGAAUCAACAAGAUUGUAUUCAUUGGGAAGAAUCUCGACGCGAAAGAAUUGGAGAAGGGCUUCAAAGCUUGUUUGUUGUGACGAGGACACUAUACUCAAGACCUUCAAUAUAAUCCUUUUCAGGUAUUCUACUUACAUAUUCAUACAAAUUUAAAUGCACGAUUAUCACACCGAUUCAGGGGUUACAAACUGGAAAGAGGAAGUGUCGAGCGGGUAAUGUCUCUCCUAUUUUUCAUCUUUCUUGAUGACUAGAACAGUGCUAAAAAAAAAUGUAGUAGGCUAUAGUUGUCAUAUGAUGCUGAUUUUGAGGAUUUGUAAAAUGUUAUGCAGUAUCUGAGAGGACUUUUGUUAGACUAAAACAGAGAAUCUAGACUUAUUUAAAGGAUGUUAUGACCACUCUUUUGGCUUCAUAAUUCUAAAUUUAUGUAUAUAAUUCUCACCCUAGUUGUUGAGUUCUUUGUUCUUCUUUUUUUUUUCCUGUAAUUAGUUGCUGAAACUCACUAGAUCUCAGAAAAUAAUAUCAAAAUGUUUGAAUAUAUUACAGAAAAAAGGUCAUUUGUGAAUAUAAUGAUAGAAAUCCAAUCACAAUGGAAUAAUCCAAACUUGUUUCUGGUUUUGGCAUGACCUACAAUGAUCUAAGCAUACCAUGAAUAUGUACAUUUGGAUCUAAUAGAGGUUGUACUCGAAUCAGAGUAUAUCAUAAAUAUGUUUAUGGUAAAAAAGUAUAGAACUUCCUCAACUAUCACCAAUUUUAAUCUGACUACCUAAUUUUUUAAAAAAAUUAUUUUGCUAUCUAAUUUUUUUAUUUAUUUGAUUUGAGUCGGUUAAUGAUUCUUUAACUUCAAAAUUUUAAUGCGCAGUUUAUCUUUACGGACUCACUUAGCAUAUGUUAUGCAAUUUAUAUAACUCUAAAGUUAUUGAAAUAGGCAAAUUGUUUUAAUAUUGUAUUGGAUGAGCCAUCAAAUAUUUUAUGUCCAACAAAAUGAAAGGUUCAAGUGUUAAAAUCAAAAUUUUAAAUGGUUGGGUAGUCGAAUCAAAAAAUGGAGCUAAGUUUACCAUAAAUGAAUACCAUAAAUUCUGUUUCUUUUUAUUUGUUACCAAAAAAAAAACCUGCUGAAGCAGAUCCAUGAACUUCUUCUUUUGAAUUAAGCAAUUUUUAAUGUGUUAAACUAGGCAUGUAAACUUGUUUUUUUUUUUAAAUGAGUAACAGGGAUUGACCUCUAAAUAGGUCAAUUUCAAAAUAAUAUAUAGGGUAAAGAUUAUAAUAAGAACAUGAAGCCUAAUUAUCUAUUGAGACAAUGUUAGAAUGCCUUUUUGCACAAAUUAUUUUUAAUGAACCCACUUUGGGGUUGUAGCUACCCAAUUUAACCCUGCCCCAUCAUAAUCAUAUAAUAAAGCUUUUGAAAGAGACAUUUUAAAUGAAUAAGUCCAAGUUUAAUUAUUUGUGACAUUGACUCAUCCAUGGUUCUGCUAUCCAGCUAAUAUUAUCCUCUGCUUAUUUUCUUUUUCAGAAAAUAGCAAGUUUAGGACAAAAGUCACAAAACUUAGCUAUUGGAGUUUACUUAGUUUGCACUAUUUUGAAUGAUCUUGGGUUUGAUUUUCACCAAAGUUCAUAAAUUUGCAUUUUGAACAUUGUGCUGUUAUGAGUCCUUAAAGUUAUGGAUACAGUUUAAAGCGUCAUAUAAAUUUACCAAUACAUCAACUGUAUGUAUGAAACCAAAACAUUUUCUCUUUUUGGCCACACCCAUUGCCCUAGCCAGGAAUUGUGGUGACAUAUAGCAUGCACAACUAUGGUGGUCUACUACUCUACAUUUAACAUUUGACUUAAAAAUAGGCUAGAUUAUACAUAUAGUUCUCAAACUAUGAAGUAGGUGACAGUUUACGCGUUAAACUUUAAUUUAUUAUAAUUUCUUACUCGAACUUUCUGAAUUAUUGUAAUCAAGUCCCACAAUAUAAUUUAGCUGAUUAAACAGUGAUGUGUUGUUAAUGAAACAGUAAUAUAACAGUGUUGUGAUUGAUGACACGAUAAUAAAUAAGAUGUCGCAUUACUGUCGUAUCAGUGACACAUCAUUAUUCACUUAAAUUAUAUCAGACUGUGAGAUUUACUGAUCGUCCCUAGCGCAAGUGCAAAGAAUUUGGUGGUUGGUAUUCGAUGUCCCAAGUUCGAAUCCUAGUUGAUUCAUAUUUUCAGCUAAGUUUAUUUAUAAAAAAAAAAUAAACAAAACGGAUAGCAUGUUAUCUUUCUCCCUCUAAAUCAGACUAUGAGAUUUGAUUGUAAUAAUCUAUAAUAUUCAGGUGAGAAAUUGCAACAGAUUAGAACUAGAGAACCAAAGUGUCACCUACAUUAUAGUUUGAAAGCCAAAUAUAUUAUUUAGCCUUUAAAAUAUGAGUUGCUAUCAUCACAUCUAAAUUUGAACUUAAUUACUUAAGGAAUCAAAGAGCAUCAAGGCAUGUAGGGUUUUUGGUAUUUAAGACAAAUAGCUAGGUAUAUAAUUGAAAGUGGCCAAUCAACAUGACUCAAAUCUCAAGUUAGUCUUAUUUGAAGGCCACUUUGUCUCACCUUGUGUCUGCAAUGAUUUAUAACAUAUUUUGGUUAUUGUUAACUUCCAUUGAGGAAUUAAGUCAAACAUGAGUCUAGUUUAUUUGGAGAGUGAUUGAUUUUAGCAUAUAUAAUAAAUUAAUGUUUAAUUUAGGGUUCAGUGUUGGGGAAGGGAAAGAGAUGGGUUGCAAUUAAUUAGUUUGUCUUAGCUUGCCACAUUUUCUAUGCUUAUCCUUAUCUUUCAGUGAAUGACACUCACAGAUUUAGGUGUGAUGUCACCAUCUCUUACCAUACAAUCCUUAUAUCAUCUUCUCAUUUCUUUCUUUUUAUCAUUUCAUCUAAUCCAACAAUGAUUAUAUAAUAGUUGGUUAUUAUCUGAAAGAGUUUUUCUUAAUAAGAUCAGAAAUUCGAAUCCCCGUUAGUACGUUUCGAAGUAAAAAAAAAAAUUUAUUUGAACCCUUGACUUUUUGAGAUGAAAACAGUGUUAGUCUCUUAACUAAGAAGGAUUUUUUUUUUUUUCUGUGCCAUAGUUACAAUAUAUCAAAUUUGUAAUAUUCAAUUAAAUGUUUUCACGAUGCAUUAAGUACAAGAAAUUUGUUUUGAAGUAUCAUUUUAAUAUGUAAUUGCCAUAUUAUUCUUGAUUAGACUCUUUUGAUAUUCACUUAGCAUAAUACAGUUAGUUUGAGAUUAUAUUCUAUGUUAUAAUUAUUAUAAAGAAGAUCUUUCUAGAGCACAGGGGCACAAGAGAAACAAACAAAAAUGCCCUAAUUGUUCUCACCCUAUUCCAUUCCCCACCUCCCCAAUUUACUCUCUCUUUCUCUCUCUCUCUCUCUCUUCACAAGCUUCACAAAGCCAUUUUUAAAGCCCUUGGAAUGUACCAAUCAAAGUUAUCAAAUCCCUUCAUAUGGUCACAAUUAUUCCCCACCUAAAUUUACUCUCUAGUAAUAAAAGGAGAAUAAGAAGUAUCCAAGAAACUUACUCCUCCACAUGUCCUAUUGGAUAAGUACAAACCCUAUCCUACACUCCACAGUGCUCAGCUAAUAAGGAUAUGGCAACUCCCAACUGUUAACCCCUCUCUCUCUCUCUCUCUCUCUCUCUUCAAAGCAGGACUAAAUGUGCUACAACCACCUCACUUUUGCAAGCUAACUUCUUUAAUUUUAGUAAGCAAGCUAUAAUAUAAAUGGCACUUUAAUUCUCAAACUUUAAUAUAUUAUUAUUUUUUUCCUCAAGUUUUUUAAGUUAUUACAAUCAGGUCUCACGAUCUAAUGUGCUGUUAACUUGUAAGUGAUAUGGUGGUGUUGUGAUUGAUAACGCGACAAUAAUUAAGAUGUUACGGUACUUCUGUAAAUAUUAAGUCAAAUAAAGUAGAUUACAGGACUUGAUUGUAAUAAUUUACAAUUUAAUUAAGAUAAGAAUUAAAACAAAAUAUUAACAAGAGUUUAGGGACUAAAUUAAAAUCUUAUUAGAAAUUUAGGAUCUUGAAUAUCAAAAACAAAAAUUUGAAAGCCAAAAUGUAAGCUUGACUAAAAGUUCAGAGACAACUAGUACAAGUAACCUUUAUUCUUUCCUUUUCAGUAAAUAUAUUUUGAGCAAUGCAAAGUGUAUACCAAAAAAUAAUAAUAAUAAUAAUAAAUCUAACACUCUACAAAUCCAAGAGUUAACAUUUUUACACUAAUCUUAUCAUUUAUUUUUUUAAUAUGAAAAAUCUAAAAGAAGCGUCUAAACUCUGAAAUGAAUGGGUGUAAAAUUUAUACCUUAUUUUUAGAUGUAUAAAUAGCCUUUCUCAUAUAUUUAUCCCUUCCAAAUAUUACACUACCCUAGUUCGGUUUGGAGAUAAUAAACAUUGUGACAAUUUUUUUUAUCCCUAAAAUAAUUUACUAUUUCAGAAUAGUUAGGAAUAAAAGUAAAAUUGUGUUUGAUUUGUAAUGCUGCAAUCUUUAAAAGUAACUGAAAUUGUGUUUGGUUAAUUUUAUGAAAUAGUACAGAACAGUGAAAGAAAAUGAUGAUUGAAUUUAAUAUAAAAAUAUGAUUAAUACUUCACAAUAAAUUAGAUAUAAAAUAUACAAUGUAAAUGAAUAUUUAAAAUAUUAUAAAUAAUUUACUAUAAUAUUUAAGACAAAUAAUAUGUAUUAAUAACUAAUAAUAUUUAUAAUAAAAUUAAUUUAUUAUAAUAUGUAGUACAUCAUGCCUUCAUAGUUUGCUCUAAUUUAAUUUAUAAUCUUAAUGAAGCUCAGAAUUAAGCCUUGGAUUUACACUUAUUUGACGGAAUAGUUUAUCCUAAUCUAUUCCCCAAAAAAACCCAAAAAUAGCAAGAUUUGGCAUGAAUAUUUUAUCCCGACCAAAAAAUAUUUUAUUUGACAAAAUAGUAAGAAAAAUUUACAUUAUUCCCGCUUUAUUCCCGAACCAAACAGUACCCAAGAGAACAACAAAAGCUUGUGGGGGUUUCCACUCACCUCAUGUGUUUACAUAUCUAAAGAGUAAGAUGUUCAAUUUGUGAUGUCCACAUACACACUCUCCUCUCCUCUCCUCAAUCAAUUUAUUAUUACUAGUAUUAUUAUGAACUAAGCUGGAAUACUAUUAAUAGCACCAAGUCAUUGUUGAUAUUAAUUUUUUAACCCUUGGAUUAAAAAAUGUGCGGUUAGGAUGAUGUGGGCCCUUAAGGUUGAGUGAGUGAUUGGUUGAAUAGUAUAAUAUAACGGGUAAAAAUAAUCAAAGGUUAAAUCUAACAGUAAAAAACUCGAUAGCACUAAGCCUUCGAUAGUAUUCCAGUCGGACUCUUAUUAUUAUUAUUAUUAUUCUCUUCCACUAUCCUCUCUAUAUUCCAAGCUUUCCCCACCAAACCAAUUCAACCCCCACAACAGUCCAUUCCUUUCCUCCCCAUCUUUUUCGGUUUCUUCCUUACCCUUUUUGUGAGAUGUUGGUUGCUUUGUAUCCAUUGUUGGGUAUCUCCUCCUUGUUCUCUCUCUAAAUCCUUUUCCCUUUUCUCCCCCUUUUCUUUCUCUUUCUCCUCCUCCUCCUCCCAAAUAACAAAGAGAGAUAGAGAGAGAGAGAGAGAGAGAGAGAGAGAGAUUCUUGGGUAUUUCCCUCCAUAUUCUCUCUCUCUCUCUCUCUUUAAAGGCAUUGCCCUUUUCACCUUAUCUACUUCUCCUAUAUAACUAAGGUUAGAAAGAGAGAGAAAGAAACCAUUGUUGAAUACUCUUUCUUUCUAAUUCCCCCUUGUUCUCUUCUCUCUCUCUUAAGGCAUUGCCUUUUUCACACCCAUCUUUCUCAUUCCAAAAUAAAAACUGAGAGAGAGAGAGAGAGAGAGAGAGAGAGAGAGAGAGAGAGAGAGAUGGGUGGUGUGCUUGUGCAGGUUCUUGGGUUCUGCUUCUGGGCAUUCAUGUGGUUUGCUGGGUCAACAGUGAUUGUGAAUCCCACAACAACACCAACACCAAGUGCAGGUGGUGGUGGUGGUGGUGGUGGAAAUCAGCAGCCUGGCCCUGCCGCCGCGGCGGCAGCUGCAGCAGCUGCCAUCGCCGUCGACGGAACGAAGGCCGUCGCGACAACCGACGGCGACUUCGUCUGCGCAACCCUGGACUGGUGGCCGCCGGAGAAGUGUGAUUAUGGGACCUGCAGCUGGGGCCUUGCCUCCCUACUCAAUUUGGUAUCUGUUUGUAUUUUUUUUUUAUAAACUUCAGAAUUCGAAUUUUGUUUCUCUUUCUUUUCUCUUUUUUUUUUUUUUGAAGGUUCUUUUAAUUUUAGUUUCUUCCUUCGAUUAAAUCAAGCUCGUUGAAUUGAAUUCCAUUAGUUAGUUAAGAAUAAUAUUUUCACACCGGAUACAAAAUAGAAUAACACGUGUUAAGCUAAACAACAGGGGGGUCAAAUUAAAGUUUACUCUAAUAAGAAUAAUAAUCGCAGAAGCUAUUAAUUUUAACAAAAGUUUAAUGCAAUUCAGAAAAAUUAAUUAAAAUGAAAAUAAUUAAAAGUUAAGAAGGUGCCAAUCAAAAAGAAAAUAAUAAUAAUAAUAAUUGGAGGGUCAGUUUCAAUUUCAAUUUCAAUUAACAGUGGGUAGUGGUUGAGGGGUCUCUAUACAUCAACUGUUCAGCUGUGGAAUUUGAUAUAUUCUAAUGCAUUAUUAUUUUCUUUUCUUAAAAAAAUUCCUCUUUUUUUGGUUGGAUUUUUAAAUCAUAAUGUUCAUUUUUUUUGUCCAUUAAAAAUUUAUUAAAUAUCUAAUUCAUGUAGCAUUUUAAAAAUAAUCUAAGGCCAUGGUGAUUGACACAGGUGUGUUUCAUCUUUUUUCCUUCCUGCAGGAUCUGUCCAACAACAUCCUACUCAAUGCUGUUAAAGGUAACAAAAAAUCUUUUUAAAUCUCCCACAAAUUAACCUAUGAGUCAGAUCCAUACCUCAAGUGAUGAAGAACCUGAAACUUUGCAUUUUCCGCAAAAAAAUUUGAUUACUUUUGCAGCAUUUUCACCAUUGAAGCUUCGACUUGGCGGUUCCCUGCAAGAUAAGCUGAUAUAUGACACAGGGGAUCCUCAGCAACCAUGCAAUCCAUUUGUGAAAAGCACUUCUGACAUGUUUGGUUUCUCAGAAGGUUGCUUACCUUUGCAUAGAUGGGAUGAGCUCAAUGACUUCUUCAGAAAAACCGGGUAUUUUCGCGACUUCUGAUCUGAGAAACAACUUAUCAGCUGCAGAAAGUUUGAUAUGAACAUGACUUACUUUACUUACCAAUGUCUCACUUGAAUUCACAGGGCUGUGAUAAUCUUCGGAUUAAACGCGUUAAACGGCCGCAUUCGUUUGCGGGAUGGUUCACUAGGAGGACCUUGGAACUCCACCAAUGCCGCGUCUUUUAUUCAGUAUACCGUCGACAAGGGUUACACCAUCCAUGGCUGGGAACUCGGUAAGGUUUUUCCAGUUCCAUCUGCACCAAGAAUCACAGGGUAAAUUACAACAUUUAUCACUGAAACUUAGCUUGGAACCAUUGAUAUGUUGAUCUUAGUUUCUGUUUCAAUCGAUCACUCCAUCAAACUUGUUUAAUUUUUCUAACGCAGAGAUAAUGCGCUAGUUGAUUUAGCUGCUGCGUCAUCUCAGGAUAUAUGAAUCAAAUGCGGUGUCAUCUCUCUAUUAUGAAAAAAAAAGCAAGGUUUGAUGGAGUUUGUUGAUUAAAGCAGAAUCUUAAGUUCAGUACAUCAAUCUCAACAAUUUGAAGUUCAGUGAUCGGAGUGAAACUUCUCGAUAAGUUCAAUAACUAAGGACCAAAAUGAAACUUUGUUGGAAGUUGAGGAACAAGAUGUGCAACUUACCCUUGAAAAAUUUUGCCCUCAGGAAAUGAACUCAGUGGCUCCGGAGUCGGGGCUCGAAUCGGUGCCGACCAAUACGCUGCGGAUGUCAUCACCCUCAAAUCAAUCGUCGAUACUACCUACCAAAGCUCCUCAUCAAAGCCAUUAGUGCUCGCACCGGGCGGGUUCUUCGAUGCGAACUGGUUCAGCGAGCUCAUUAGCAAGACAAAACCAAAUUACUUGGAUGCAAUCACUCACCACAUUUAUAACCUGGGCGCAGGUACCCGGUCUGUCAGCUUACUUGAAAAGCUUUCGAGAAAAGACGGCUUAUUCUUUAAGCAUGUUUCAGGUGUCGAUAGCCGUCUGAUCAACAGGAUCCUCGAUCCUUCGUAUCUCGACAGCGAGAUAAGCACAUUUCGCAACUUGCAGGGGAUACUUAAAGCAUCAGGGACUUCAACUGUUGCAUGGGUCGGUGAGGCUGGGGGUGCUUAUAACAGUGGGCAUCAUCUUGUCACUGAUGCAUUUGUGUUCAGCUUCUGGUAGUGUAAACUCAAACAAGUUUUUGGCUCUUAGGGUUUUGUGGUGAAAAGUAAAGAGCAGUACUAGAGAAAUUUAAUGAUUCUGCAGGUACUUGGAUCAGCUUGGAAUGGCGGCAAAGUACGACACGAAGAGUUAUUGUAGACAGACCUUAAUCGGUGGAAAUUACGGCCUUCUCAACACGACGACUUUCGAACCAAAUCCCGAUUACUACAGGUUAAUCUCUUUAUCUAGGAAUGCCGGGAAGGUUUUAGUCAUACAAGAAGUUACAGUCACCCGACAACCGAACUUGACAAAUUUUUCUUUGCGGUGAAUAAUUCUUUUUGUUUCUUUUCUGCAAUCAUGCAGUGCUCUGUUAUGGCAUCGAUUGAUGGGGACGAACGUCCUCUCAGUGAACUUCAAGGGCACGAACAAGAUACGGGCAUAUGUGCAUUGCGCGAAAGAAUCUGUAAGCAACUAAAAAAUCUCUACAAAAUUGUCCCAGUAGUUACCAAACUAUCUCAUCCAUUCAUUCAUUAUUAAUGCUAUUUUUCAGAAUGGAAUUACAGUGCUAUUGAUCAACCUUAGUAGUGACACCACAACGCAAGUGUCCGUCGCGACCGGAGACGGCGUUGACAAUGUCGCCCGCGAUUCAAUCCACAAUGGCCAGGGUUCGAGAAAAUUAAGUCGUACACCGCGACUCACGAAGGAGAAUGGAGUCACAAGAGAAGAAUACCAUCUAACUCCUAAGGAUGGAAAUCUCCAUAGCCAAACUAUGCUACUAAAUGGGAAUGCAUUAUCUGUUGAUUCAGAUGGGAAUAUUCCUGAGUUAGAACCAGUUGAAGUGGAUGCAACACAACCUAUAAGUGUAGCACCGUAUUCUAUUGUGUUUGCUCACAUUCCCAACUUUGAUGCUCCUGCUUGUAGGUAGAUGUCAUUUGUUGAAGGAUAUUUCUAUUUAUAAUACAUAAAAGGAUGGGCUACAAAGUAGUCCAUUCUAUUCAGGCCCUAAGGUUUUGAGAGGGUUUGAGAGAGUUGUUAUUCAAUGAAAAAAAAAAAAAUCUUCGAGCAAAAAUGAAUGAAAAUGAAGUGAAAUUAAGAAGAGUAUUGUGUUAUUUAUGAUUGUUAUUCUUAUCCUUCUAGGUCAAAAUAGACAAGGGCUUUUCAGAGAGAAAUAUUUGCAUGCAUAACGAAAAAAAAAAAAAAAAAAAAAACUACUACAACAAUCAGAUCAUUACAGAACUACAAUUGUUUGAACACGUAAAUAUAUUGCAAGAGAAAGUUGAUAUUUAAUCAGAACUCCCAAAUAUUUGGCACUUGCAACUCCUGUGCAUUGCCAAACAUAGAGAGAGAAAAGAGUAUUAAAAAGAAAAAAAAAAAAAAAAAGAAGAAAGAGUUCCCCAGCAUUGCAUAUAUGUAAAUUUUGCUAACUCCUCUAGAGGGUGCUCUGAACUUCGAUGUGAUUUAAUAAGCUUGUUAAACUAGGUACAUAGUUGCCACUAUGGUAUGUAUCAUGUAUGUAAAAAAUGAUAUUAUAAUUCUCACUCGACAGAAAACGACAUAACUAAAUGAAAUUACUUAAGACUUAUGGAGCAGAUUAUCAUCAGUUUAUUUAUCUUACAGCAUACUACAGGUAAGUUCAUCCAGAUAAUGAAAAAUCAAGUAAUUGCUUUUUUUUACAUUGUAACAGAGCAUGAGAGACCUGUCUUGGGUAAAGCCUCUUAUUCUUCAGUCAACUGGUACUUCAACCUCCAUCUUUAAUCCAGGGCUGCUCAGAACCUGGAAGUAAACAUGCCAUUAGUAUGAGAAGAGGAUAAUUAGCACUUAAGGUAAAAAAGGGGGCCAAAAAAAAAUUGUCAAAUAGUCUCCAAGCAGGACACACACUGUAUUUACUUAAGAUUUGGGAAUCAUUAGCUUGUCUUUGUUAAAAUGAAGUGUUUUAUUUGUUUUUUUUUAAUUCUUUGAAAAGAGGUGCUGAGAAGAUCAAAUGAGAGCAGCAUGUUCAUUCAGGUGCAUUUCGGUGUUUUGCUACAUCAAUAAUGGUUUGACUUGCUACAUCAAUAAUGGUUUGACUCAACAUCAGCUCUAAUACGUCAGAAUUAUUCCGAUUGCACUUCAGAUCUGCUGAGGAUGCUGUCGAGAGUCCCUUGCACAGUACUCUCCAAGCAGAGUCGUAUUAAAUCGCCUUAUUUGGAUGAAAUAUUGGUUAGUUUCAUAAUAGUAAAAUUGAUCAAGAUCUAAGUUGUUGGAUUUUGGAAACAAGACCCAUAACGAACUCUAAAGAGAAGCAAUCUGAACGACACCUAAGAAUUGAAUAUAUGGCAGAAAGUGGACAUAAGUAAAUAAUCAUACAAAUCAAGCAAUAACCUACUUAUUCACAACACUAAAGUAAAUUUUAACCUAUACUAUCGUCAAUACGUUAUAAAGUGUUAUAUCUUCGCACAAAAACUGUAAAACAACCAAAAUGGAAUGCACGUGCAAUGAUCUAAGAAAAAUCAUAAUAAAAGCUUGACAAUACAUAAAAGAUCAUAUUUCCAGAAAACUUUCUCAGUAAAUCUUGUAUAUCUUCUUAUAAACUUGCAUAACAAGGAUGGCUAAAAAUGUACCUUCACAAAAUCAUCCAACAAAAUAGAGGAAUUUCUUGUGUAGCCAGCUUCUUCCAAUACCCAGACCAAGACAUGCUGAACAGCAUUGUAGAAAGUACACAAUUAGGAAGCAUGAGCAAACAUUUCAAACAAUAUAGUUUUGCCAACUCCUACAUUGUAUCCUUUGCAAUUAGCCACGUGAGGGACUAUUGCCCAACUUAAGAAAAGGCCCAAACCUUUAAUCCACAUAGGCAACUUACAAGCUAAUGACCAUCACUAGCACAUUCCAUUGUAAUCAAGCUUUUAGUGUACAAAUGUGAAGCAGGAAUUAACUUUAAAAAGAUUGAGAGGAUCUAGUGGACAAUGACUAAUGAGAAACACCCUUUGCAAUGUUUAAUAUGGAUUUACUUUAUGUAAACAAACUAAUCAAAAAAUUCAGGUUAUAAAAAUGUGCAAUAAGUAAAAAUUUCUUUUAUAUUUCAAAAGAACAAAGAAAGACGACGAAACAUAUACUGAACAAUCUAUUCUGAACAACAUUUUCUUCACUUAAUGCCCGGUUUUCUUAGUAAAGCAGGGUUUUCAGUAAGUAAAAUUUCUUUAAUUCUUUUAUAUUUCAAAAGAACAAAUGAGAGAAGUCGAAACAUAUACUGAACAAUCUCUUCUGAACUUUAUUUUCUUCACUUAAUGCCCUGUUUUCUUAGCAAUGCCCUGUUUUCACUCGAAACAUAUACUGAACAAUCUCUUCUGAGCUUGAUUUUCUUUUGUAUUUCAAAAGAACAAAUGAAAGAAGUUGAAAUAUAUACUGAACAAUCUCUUCUGAACUUUAUUUUCUUCGCAUAAUGCCCUGUUUUCUUUGUAAAGCAACUUCUUAUUACUCAUCUGGUUUUCGAAAAAUAAGAUGUUAAGUGUAAUCAGAAACAUAAAUUGUUGAUCAGAAUCCAACAAUCACAUUGGACUAUAAGAAAACAAGGUAAAAUCUUUGAAGAAAAAGAAGGGAUACCUCUCUCUGCUCCUCCGACAUGAACGACCCCGUCAAAUCACGAAGCACCUCCAACAAGUCCUUAAAAGUUACCUGCCCCUUUCCAUCUAUAUCAUAUACCUUAAAGAUCACUGCUUCACAAAUCAAACCAACAACAACAAAAGAAAAAAAAUUUAAUCCCUAAUCCCCCAAUUCACAAAAACUCAGCUAAAAACAACAUUUUGAUGCAAUAAUUGGCAACUGGGUCUCACGCUCAAUCUUAUGCUGGAGACUCGCUUUUGCACUAAACGCCGAGAGGAACGCGACGAAGUCCUUAAAGUUCAACCCGUCCACCAUCUUAAGCAACCUCUGAAACAAACAAUUCAAGCAGCUAGGGUUUCAUCGAUUGUUGCCAAGGAGACGAAAGGGUGCCCGGCGAUUCAGCAGCUAGGGUUUGAUCAUCGAUCGGUUACCUGGGAGAGGGGAUUGAGGGAGAACUCGGGGAUGGAGAGGAACUCGUCGGCGGAGAUGAAGCCCUUGGCGUUGCGAUCGAGUUGGCAGAAGCGCUCGUAGAGGGCGACGAUCUCCUGCUGGGAAACUGAGGAGGGGGAGGUGGAUUAGGGUGUGGCAACGAGGAGGAGGGGGGAGGGCGAAGGGGAAGUGAGUGGUGGGGGAGGCGCUCACAGAGGUAGUUGCAGUGCUCUUGGACCUCUUCGAUGUCGUACUGGGUGAGCGUGGACGAGGCGUUCCCCAUGGCCGCGCCCCCUCUAGCUUCGUCGAGGACGAGGACGAGGACGAAGACGAUAACGAAGAAGAAGAAGAAGAAAAGGCGAGGGAGUGGGGAUCGAGGUUGCGUUUUGGAGUUUAUAGUAAUUUGACUUGGGUGGACCAUGUGUACCACGUCAGAUGUAGCUUUCCAAUUAAACUCUAACAGGUGGAAAAAAAAAGAUAUAUCAUAGUUCUCUUCUCUUCAGAAUUAUUUGGUUUCUCUAACAAAAAUAAUAUAUAUAUAAAAUUUAAUUUUAAAAUAUUUUUAAUAAUCUAAAUCAUAUUUAUCGAUAUCAAUUGUUGGUACCAAAGCACCAAUAUUGAAAACAGAUUAAUAACUAUACAUUUGAUCUUCGUGAGUUAGCAUAUAUUCGACUACCUAAUAAAUAAGUCGACCACGAAAAAUUUUUAGACUACUGAGCCUAUAAAAGUUUUUAAAUGUAAAAAAUAGUUAUCUAAAAUUUUUAUUUAUGAAAAUAGUCCGAUAAAAAUAGUAAAAUUAUUUAUCUUUUUUAAAACUAAUAAAUUAUUUACCGUUUUUACGCUAAUUUAUACAUUUUGUACAUCCAAACUUCAAAAGAUAAAUAUAUAGUAUUAAUUAUUAAAAAUAAUUUUAAAUCUUUGUAAAAUAGGACGAAUAAUUUACCGCAUUUAAAAAAUAAUAAUUCAUUCCCCCAUCUAAUUUUGUAAAUAAAUUUUUUAUAAAACUAUUUUAUAAUUAUAAUAUUUUUUAUAACUAUUAAUAAAAAAAAAUGGGACCAAGAGCCAGUUUGUAUUUGGCUCCUUUAAUAUACUCUCCAGUUCGGGCUCGUUGAUAGGGGUCUCAUUACGGACUGUGUCCAUUAUAGAGAGUAAUUUAGGGAUGCCCCGAAUGAGCGCCGCGUGGCACCCAGACGCCCCGGAUGGGCGCCACGUAACACCCUGCCCCACGGGGGCACAUCGCCCCCGCUGCUUUGCCUUUUGGGAGAGCGGUGUGGUUUGUUUCGGUACACCCGGUGCACCAUUUUUUGCUUCAAAAUUUUAUUUUUUAUUUCAAUUAUAAUUUACUAUAAUAGAGAUAUAUUUUAGAUAUUUUAAACAUAUAUGUAAAAUAAUUUUAAAUACUAAACUCUAAUUUUUUUUUACAUAUAUAUUAUUGUAAAUGAUCAUAUAUAUAAUUAUAUAUAUAAUAUAUAUAAUAUAUUAGGUGAUAUAUAACUGAUCUUAAUAAUUAUAUAUAUAUAUAUCUGGAGGUGGAGUUCGGAGGUAGGAGGGUUUGUCUAGAAGGUCAACUUGCUCUACGCUGAUAGUAAACGGGAUCAUUUUUUACUAUGGAGUUGCUUUUCGAUGAUAGAGCUUCCAAAUUGGACCGAUCGGCUCCACUGAACUGAUGUAUACCACUUAAAGUGUUUAGAAAUCAAAUUUGAAAUCUGUUUGAAAUAUUUGCCUAAUGAUUCAAAGGGUUUCAAAUUUAUAAUUUUAAGGUGAUAAGAGACGUUUUCUCGAUUUAAGCGGUGUAAGAGAGUAUCCCGGAUAUCAUUGAUUUUUUGUUAGAAAAUUCUUUAAACUAUUUUAAAACAUAGAUCUAUUACUCUUGAUUUCUUGAUUACAAGAUCCUAUCAUUCAUUUUUUACAAGAAGUAUUCAUUUUCAACCAUUCAUUUUCUGUUCACAUAGAUAGAUAAAAGAACAAUACGGAAAGUGCGUCUGAAAUUGUCAUGUUGCUAGGUAUGUUGUAAUAUGGUUUGUAGACAUAUUUAACGGAGCGGAUCGUCAAUUUGCGAAGCUUUAUCAUCGAAAACAAUCCGAUAGUAAAAUGCUCGUUACUAUCGAGAGUAUCUCUAGUCAAUAUAUUAGUUGAUAGUUAAUACACUGAUAGAAUGUAGUAAUAUUAUAAUAUAAUUAAAGUUUAUAUUAAAAAAUAAAGAUUUUAAAGCAAAAAGUAGUGCGACAGUUGUGCCACUCAAAAAACAAUGCGAGUGCUGCUCUCGAGUUGGAUGGCCACACGGCUCGACGGUAUAUCUGUGCGCGUCCCGCAGUCGCCAAAUCUUAUUAUUUAUUACUAUUAUAAAGUCCACGAACAAAUUACUAUCUACUAAGUCGGCGAACAAAUAGUUACUACACUGCCAUAUGUGGCCCUUGGCUGCCUUCGGUGAAACCUGGUCGCUCAUAAACCACACAUCAUUUUAAAUCCAAGGGUUAGCAAAACUUAUAUAGCACAAAGUUCAGUUGGUCUAUUAAUAGUAAUUUCAACUGUGUAUAUAUUAUAUAUAUAUAUAUAUAUAUAUAUAUAGAGUCCGGCUUACUGAGUGAUACUACUCGCAUACUAUCAAGUUUCUGGUACGUUAUUGAGGUUUUCCUAUCGUUAGUAUAACGGUUGGAUUAUUGUUCGCACCAGUUAAAAUUAUACGAUUAAACUGAAUCUUACCGCACUUCAAUCCUGUAUGGGGGACCACUAUCAAUUUAAUCGGGGAGGCCAAUUCUGAUCAUCCUAAUCGUACAUGCUUCUUUCUUGCAUACGGCGAAAACUCAAUAGCUAGCAGGGCGUGUUGGUACCUAUUGAUGUAUGUAGAUCAAUAUAGUAUUGAUAGGUAUUAUUAUGUUAUAUUAUAUAUAUAAUAUACGAGGGCAUAUUACUAUGAGGGCGUAUAUAGCUAGGCUCCUAUGCUUUCGAAAGUACGGGAGGCCCCGUGCUUGUAAGUUGUUUUCGAUGAUGGGACAUCCGAUUCGGUGAUCGGUUCCGUUAAACUUGAUCUACGCUAUUGGAACUAUCUAGAAACCAAAUUUCAUAAUUUUUUGAUUUCGUUUGUCUAGUGAACGAGUAGCCUUAAAAUAAACGGCUGAAAAUGAAAAUCUCAUAAAAAACAGUGAUAAAGGAUUCAAAUUUUAAAUCGAAAGUAUUGAUCUUACUACUGAUGUUAAGUAGAAUUUUCUAUUAAAUUUUCAUGUAAUUUGGAUGCUUCUACACCGUUGAACUUAAAAAUGUGCCACAUCGACCGUUAAAAUAGUCAUUUUUUAGACCUUUUGAUCGCUUAGUAAAUGAUGUCAAAAAAAUCUAAAAUUUGGUUUCUAGAUAGUUCCAAUAGGGUAGAUCAUACCUAACGGAGCCGAUCGUCGAAUCGAACGUCCUAUCAUUGAAAACAACUUACAAGCACGGGGCCUCCCGUACUUUCAAAAGUAUAAGAGACGGACUCUAUAUAUAUAUAUAGUGUUUGACUAUUAUACUCUUAUGAAUAUAGAGCCUCUUAUAUUCAUAAGUUUUUGACCGUUUGAUUUAUCCUUUAAUCAUUUUCACCCAUUAGAUUAUACUAUUCAACCAACCAUUCACUCAACCUUAGGGGGCUCACUAUCAACCUACCCGUAAUCAUCCUAACCGUACAUUUUUUCAUCCGAACGGUCAAAAAGUUAUGAGUACAAAGAUCUCUAUACUCAUAAUAUAGUAGCCGAACUCUCUCUCUCUAUAUAUAUAUAUAUAUUUAUAUAUAGGGUUUGAAAAUUUUAUAUUAUAAAAUUUUAAAUUUUGGAUACUAAAAUUUUAAAUUCUAAAUUUGAAAUUUUAUAAUUUUAUAAUUUAUAAUAUUUAUUCCCAUUUUUUUUAAUUUUAAAUAUUUAAAUUUUAAAUACUUUUGUACUUUCUCUCUUACCUAAUUUUAUUAAAUUUAAUGUUUAUAUUUUUUCUCUUUCUUUUUCUCUCUCACUGAGAAAUGUGCGUACCGUUUUUCUCUUUUUUUUAAGUUUAAUUUUUAAUUUAACGCUCUCUUUUUUCUUUCUCCAAACAAAAUAUAUGAAUAUUUAAAAUAAUUUUAAACUUGAAUUUAAUAAUUAUAUAUUUUUAAAAACCUCUAAUUUUUAUUUUUUUACAGUAUAAGUAAAAUAUACUAUAUUUUGAAGUACUCUCUCUUUGACUUUAAUUUUUUUUGAAAGUUUGAAAAUACUCUCCCUAACUAUAAUUUUUAUUUAACAUUUUCUUUUUUUCUUCAAAUAAGAGAUAUAUAUGAAAAGUAAUAUUUUUAUUUGACUCUAUUAACUAUUAAGUGACUGUAUUCAACGUAUAAUAUAAUUAUUGUAAACUUAAAAAUCGCACCCGCUUCAAAGCAUGGAUACAUUACUAGUUGCUAGGGGUGGUAAUUCAGCUCCGGGGUUCGCGAGCCAGCUCGUUUUCGGCUCGAAAUGAGCGUCGAGAUGCGGCUCUCUUGUUUAGUAAACGAGCCGAACACGAGUUAAUUUUUCAGCUCGUUUAAUAAACGGCCGAACAUGAGCUGGGGUUAGCUGGUCAUGUUCGGCUCGAUAACAGCUCGAAUACAUAUAUUUAUAUUUAUAUAAUUUAUUUAAUUUAUUUUUUUAUAAUAUAAAUAAAUAAUUAUAUAUUAAUAUAUUUUUAUUAUUUAAAUUUUAGCAAAAAAUAUAAAAUGCGAGCUUAAUUAUAAAAUAUGAUUUAUAUGUAAAGUUUCAACUAUUAGAUAAAACUCUAAUAGUUAAGUUUUAUAAAUUUAUUUUUAUUAUAUAUUUAAUCCAAUCUUUUUUAAUUUAUUGUUCGUUGGCCAGCUCGUGAGCCAGCUCGUAUUCGGUUCGUUAAUAAACGAGCCGAACACGAGCUGAAUUUUUCGGCUCUAUACUUUAGCGAGCCAGCUCGUGUUAAAAUGAGCCGAACAGGAGCCGACCCCAGGUCGCUCGUGUUCGGCUCGUUUACACCCCUACUGGUUGCUUUCUAUUAACACAGUAUCCACAAAAUUUUUGCCACUCAUUAAGCCUUUCGCAAAUUUAUAUGUUUACGGGGGUAUUUAUGCAAAAACGCCAUCCCCAGGGGAUAUGUAUAUGUAUUUAUCUGCCUUUUGAGAUGUGCAUCACACAAGUCAAUAGCGUUGACCAGAAAUGGGUGAGGAGACGGGGCGGAAACAUGCGGUGGUGCAGCAGCUGGCGGCGGACGGCCGUGAUCCGCCGAGCCGGUACGUGGCGAGGGAGGAGGACCGUCCGAUCGGCGAUUCGUCGUCCCCGGCCCCGCCGCGUUCCGGUGUGCCCGUCGUGGAUCUCCGCCGCGUGUCCGGAUCCGACGGCGGGGACGAGGCCGACAAGCUCCGAGCCGCGCUCCGGUCCUGGGGAUUGUUUCUGGUACAGCUCAUUAUGACUAUUUCUGAACUGUUGUAACGAUCCGACCCGCUAAGAAUAAUAACUGGUUAAGUCCAAAACAUCGGUUCAAAAUGCUUAAGUACAGUUAUUAUUGCUAGCGGAUUGUGACGAUCCAACCCGUCAGUAAUAAUAACUCAUUCGACCGAAACUACCGUCCCAAAAUACUUAAUUUUAGUUAUUAUUAGUAACACAUAGGCCUCAUAUAUUCUAAUGAGAUCAGUCCAAACCGGAUCACAAAUACAGACCAGAAUUAUCAGAUGAUGUGAGAUUCGGUUCAAGAGAUGUUGGUGUAGCACUUUAUCCCGCAUAAUACUUUAGCUCUUAUACUUUCGGCUAGUAUUUGACUCUGAUACCAAUUGUAACGACCUGACCCGCUAAUAAUAAUAACUGAAUUUAAGCAUUUUGGGCCGGUGGUUUGGACCAACGAGUUAUUAUUGUUAGUGGGUGGAGUCGUUACAAAUAUUAAGUGGUAACUUUUGGCCCCGCACCACUGUCCAAAAUGUUUAACUCUAGUUAUUGAUACUUAGGGAGUGAAAAUGGAUCGGACAUUACUCGAUCCAACCUGAAUCCGAAUCAAAAAAAUUAUCGGAUAUGGAAUUGAAUUUGGAUCCGGAGUCAGUUUCACUACUUUUCUUCGGAUUAUCUGAAUUUGAAAACUGAUUUUCCUAAAUUUCAAUAUAUUUUUUAAAAAGUUUUAGUUUUUUAAACUUCUUAAAAGUUUUUUUUGAUAGAUUUAGAAACCUUAAAUAUAUAUUUGUAAAUCUUUUUUCAUUUUUAGUUCUAUAUAUACUUAUUAAACAUUUAUGGUCAUAUCUGGAUCCGAUUGAUGUUUGUAUCUGUUUGAUAUCCGACCCGUAAGGUCGUAUCGAAAUCCAAUUUUGUAUGGCCGAAUCUGAAUCAGAUUUAUGUCCGUAUUUGUUUAAUAUCCGACCGGUAUGGCUUUAUCUGAGUCCAUUUUUAUGAGAAAUAUCCUAAUCUGAAUCGAGAUAGGAUAUAAAACAAUGAAUAUAGAUUAGGCACUAUCCAAUACAUACACGAUUUCCUUUUAUCCGUACUAGCACUAGAGUGCUAGUCUCUUGCGCUCUUUCAUAUUAUCUGAUGUGGGACUAUUAAGUGUUACAUUACUUUUCCUGUUCGUAUAUGUGGUUAAGGUAAAAACAUUAUAUAGAUUUUGUAUAUAUGAACUAUAGUAUAAUUUUAACGGGAUCGACGGCUGAAAUUUAAUCCAUUAGGUGGGGGAUCGGAUCCGCGACCUCACUUGGAAGUCGGGAGCUUAGGUUUGAUUCUGAUGCCAUGUUACGCAAAAAGAUCAAUCUAAUACAAAACGACCUCAUACUAAUCCAAUCUUAGUAACACAACUGCUUAAACAUAAGAUCAAUCUUUUCGAUUUUUGAUAGAAAUGAAGCGGAGUAAACAUGAUGUAGUCUAUUUGAAAUUUCUAGAACAAUAUUUUAUAAUUUUUCGACAGCAUUUGGUUGUUAUUCAGGUGAUCUCAAGAUUGACAAUUUGUAACAGAGAACAUAAGGUGAUCACUAAGUAAAUGAUGUUAUAAAAUCACAAAAUUUCGAUUCCUACGAAGUUCUGUUUAAGUUAGGAUGAAAGCUUUCAUACAUUUUCUUAUAACUGAAGUCUGCUUAAAACUUUGUCAGGCUACAGGGCAUGAGAUACCAGAAGCUCUGCUGGAUGAGGUCAUGAAUGUUUCGAGAGCGUUCUUUUGUCUUCCGAUCGAGGAGAAGCAAAAGUAUACGAAUCUGAUAGAUGGCAAGGAAUUCAAGUUGGAAGGGUACGGAAACGACCGAGUCGCGAGCGACGACCAGAUCUUGGACUGGUCGGAUCGGUUGUAUCUUUUGGUGCAGCCUGAAGGCCAGAGAAAUCUGGCUCUCUGGCCUGAAACUCCUGCCUCUUUCAGGUACUGUUUUCAUUAUCUGAAUCAAGGAUUGCGAGCCAUUGGCACGCCUCGACACGGACCCUCUUUUAUAUGUUGGCACAGUCGAUACAUGCCGACCAUGCUAGAUCGUGCGAGUGGAGUUGGAUUUUCGGUCUAUGUUAUUUAAAUUUCCUAUUUGCGAUAUUGCUGAUGCGACGUAAGAACACUCCAGUAGCAAAAAGCACUUGUAAGUAUCUCCAAAAAUGUUUUCAUACAAUGUGUCAUUAAUUCCAAAAGCUCGGGUUGUUAGAAAGAUGCAUCCAAUUCACUUAUAGCGUACAGACACGGCACCCACAGGUCUCGAUUGUGACUCGGCCCAACACAGGCCAGGCCAACACGAUGAUCUUCUCUUUCAUACAUAAUUGGAUCUCCUACUAAGUUUGGUUCUGAAAACUGUUUGCAAGCAUCAUUAGCAGAUAAAAAUAGCAUGAAAUUAUCGCCAGGUUAAGAAUUCUAACUGAUUUGGAUUAAUCUCCAGGGAAGUUCUACAUGAAUUCACCACACAGUGCAAAAGGGUGGCCAACCAUAUCCUUCGGGCGAUGGCCGAGUUAUUGGAGCUAGAUGAGGACUACUUCGUCAGCCAAUUCGAUGAAAAGGCGAUAACGUUCGCCAGAUUCAAUUACUACCCGCAGUGUUCGAGGCCCGAUCUUGUUUUCGGCAUCAAGCCUCAUUCUGACGGCUCUGUCAUGACGAUUCUGCUGCCGGAUAAAGACGUGGGCGGCCUUCAGGUGCUCAGAGACGGCGAGUGGGUCGACGUCCCAACCAUUCCUCAUACAUUGCUGGUCAACCUGGGUGAUGGCAUGGAGGUAGUACUCAGUUUCAUGUUUCUGUCGAAACUUACGCUGAAAUGCGAACAAUGAGUGCAUUUAUGCUGCUGAAACAUCGAAAUGGUGCGCAUUUAAGCGGAUAAGUCGAUCUUUUCGGUAACACGGGUUGUUGAAUACUUUACGCAGAUUAUGAGCAACGGAACUUUCAAGAGCCCCGUGCACAGGGUGGUGACGAACGCGGGGAAAGAGAGGCUUUCGGUGGCUAUGUUUUAUGCACUGGACCCAGAAAGGGAGCUGGGACCUGCAGCAGGGUUGAUAGAUGAGGAAAGGCCAAGAUUGUACAAAACUGUGAAGACCAAGGACUACCUCGCGGUGCUUUUCGAAACUUUUGCAAAGGGGAAGAGGGCCAUCGACUGGGCGAAGGUCUAAAAUGCGGUGUCGAACAACCGAAUCGAGCACCGAAGAAUACGAAAUGCCGCGAGUUUCCGCUGGUUAUGGUUGGUUUCUGACACUAGUUUGAGACAGCAUACAUGUACACUAUGCUGUACAGUAACUGUGUUUCAGUUAACUUAAAGAUGUUCUUUUUUCUCUUAACUUGGAUCUGCAACUUUAAAGAUGUUUUUUUUAAUAAAGCGAGUUCAUUUGUUUAUUGUUAUGAACAAGUUCUUGUAAAAGAUAUUAAUGAAAAAAAAAAAAAACUAAAAUUUUAAAAACUAUUUCUCUGAUGAAGGAUAUCAAAUCCCUCCUAAUAUAAUAUCUUUUAUAAAGAACUAAAAAUGUAUAUGUAUAUUCAAUGAGGAGGUUUCAAUAGAAUAUAUUGAUUGAUUCCUACAUUUGUAGACUUGGUGAAAGCAAUUGAUGAGGCUCUCUUUUAUUUCCACAUCCAUUGACUUUGUACUAAAAAUAAAAUAAAAUAAAAUAAAAUAAAAAUUAAAUAAAGAGCAUGCAUUGAUCAUUGAGUUGAAAAAUGGUACUUGAGCCUCUUUUUCAUAUUGCUCUUUAGUCCAACUUGAUGUUAAAUAGAUAAAAAUAUCUUAAAAAACCCCUCAACUAUAGACAAUUUAUUUUUAGUAAAUAAAACCAGAAUCGGGGUUAAAAUAUAUAAUAGGGAUAUAUUUCUUCGUUUUUCUGGUAGGACUGCGGAAAUAUAUCAUAAUUGAUUCAUUGCGAUACACACAAUAUAAUGUUGUGUACGAAAAUAAGCGGAAUAUUUUUUUAUAAUAUUUUUUUGUUGCAUAUGAAGUAUUAUUCUCAUAAUUUCUAACGAAGCCUCAAUUGAACCAAAAAAAAAAAAAAAAAAGUUAAAGCUUUGGGAGCUAUUUCGAAGUGGUCUAUAAUUGAGGAAACUCAUUACAUUUUUACCUAUUAAAUAUUAUAUUUUCUUCUCUUUUUGUUUUUAAUAUUUCAUAAUUCUAAAGAGAGAAAGAUAACAUUAAAAUUAGCAAAGAGAGAGAGAUAAUAUAUUAAAAUUAAGCUUAGGAGGAAGACACCUUGUAUGAUGUAUCUAUUGUCAUCUAUUAUUUUUUUAGUAAAAUAUUUCAUUUAUUAUUAUUUAGUUGGUAAGCUUUUGUAAGACCAGUAUUAUCCUCUCUAGUGAGAUAUGUGUCGGAUGAUUGGCGCUGACCAUUAAUCCCAAAAGUUCGAGCUGUUAGAAAUACGCAACCAAUUCACUUAAAACGUAUAGAAACAACGCCUAUGGGUCUCAAUUGUGACUUGGCCCAACUAGCCUCACGACACUUUGAAUAUAACUCGACUCAACCCAGCCUCACGCUAUUUCGAACAUGACUCGGCCCACACAUGACCUCCCGCCACAAGGCCAGAUGCUGACCCAUUUAAGCCAACAAUAUGUUGAGAGAAUAUAAUAUAGAACAUUAAUAUAUUUGAAUAAAUGGUCAUCAAAUUAUGAGGCGUGUAAUAUUUUGAUUUAUAAAUUUUUAUUUAUUGUAAUUUUCUAUUCAAAUUUUUUAAAUGUUCUAUCAAGUCAUUUAGUAUAUUGUAUCAAAUUUUUUGAAAAUAUUAUUCAAAUUAUUUGAACUGUGGACCAUUUUAAAUUGGCUAUCCAGCCAUUUAAGAUUUUGAUUUUAUCAUCCAAUAUUUUAAUAUGUUUGAUUUGAGUCAGUCAAGAAUACUUUAAUUUUAAAUUUUAAGAUAAUUAUUUUAAUAAAUUUAUAGUUGCGAGAAUUGAAUAAAAUAUACUAACUAAAUUUGUAAAGAUAAAUAAACAACGCAUUUAAAAAUUUGAAGUAAGAAUAAUAUUUACCGACUCAAAUCAAACAAAUUGAAAGGUUGGAUAAUGAAAUUAAAAUUUUAAAAAGUUUAGAUUGCGGAUCAAAAAUAAUACAUAGUUCAGAUAAAUUUUAUAUAUUUUUUUAUGUAAUUAAAUUAGAUAGUGAGUUGUACCUAAUGCAAGUUGAGUCACCAACCUAGCAACUACUUUUCAAAACUUUUUUUUUUUUAUUUUCUUCUAUUUUUUUUAAAAAAAAUAAAUCAUUCUAAUUUAAAAAAUAAAUUAAAAUCCGUAAAAAUGGGAGAAAAAAUUGGAAAUGGAAUACAUUUGAAACUUUCCCAGUGUGAAAGCGACAUCAUAUUUUUCCAAGCUCCCAACAACUUAUCCCAAUAUUAAAUUAUCCACAUAAAUGUUAGGAAAAAUUGAAUGGAGACCCCUCAACUAUAGGAGAUUUCUACAGAGGCUCCUCGUACUUUUUUUUUUUUAUUUAGACCUCUUAAUUUUUCUCAAUUACAAUAUAAUUUUAUUAGUUAUUAAUUAUUAGACAUUAAUUAACCUAGAUUAAUUUGUUAAAAAGUAAUUAAAAUUAUCCAAUUUGAUGAUAUCACCAAUAAAUAUGAAAAUUUCAAAAAGCUAUCUAACUUUUUAAUAUUUUAAUUUUACCGUCCAAUCUUUCAAAAUGUUUAAAUUGAUUAUAUUACCUUAAUAAAUUUAUAAUUAUAAGAAUUGCAUGAAAUAUACUAUUUGAAUAUGUAAGGAUAAACGAUAUAUUCAAAUUUUAAAAUAACAAAUAUCGUAGACGGACUCAAAUCAAAUAAAUUUAAAAAUUAGGUAGUAAAAUCAAAUUGAGGGGGCUAAAAUACAAUAAGCAAUAGUUGAGGUGUUCUCAGUAUAUUAUACACUUGUUGCUUCACAAGAAUAGUACUUAUUAUAAUAAAUUAAAUUAAAUAUUAAACAUUAAAUAUAAAUAAAUAAAUCGUGUUCACAUCCAUUUAAAAUCCCGUGCUACGUGAUAAGUAUUUGACCCUUCAAAGUUCCCAUUUUUAAUUUUGUUUCUCUCCCUCUCUCUCUCUCUCUCUCUCUCUCUCUCUCUCGUCGAUCCAAAUUGAAUAUAAAAAUCCCACAAGUCCAAUGCGUUCUUAGCGAUCUCCGAUCCAAGUCCCCCUCCUCGUUGGGGUCGGCCAUUCCCAGUUCCAAUUCCGAUCCAAAUCGAUCGAAAAAUCGGAGGAAAUCCGAGUAAAAAUGGCGAAGGAGGAGGCGGCGGCGGAGGUGUUCGUUGGGUCGCUCGAUCAGGGGACGACGAGCACGCGGUUCAUCAUCUACGAUCGCAAUGCGAAGCCCAUCGCCUCGCACCAAGUGGAGUUCACCCAAUUUUAUCCUGAAGCAGGGUACUUUAAUCUUUUCCUUUUUUUAAAAAAAAAUCUCUUUCUAUUUUCCUUUUUAAUGUGUUCGUUUGUUUUGUUUGUAUUGCAUAAACGUGCGAUUUUUGUGUUGUUAUUGUUCGCUUAUUCAAGCGAGUUUUGAGAUUUUUGCUUGAUUAUCUCUCUCUCAAAAAAAAAAAAAGAUUUUUUGCUUGAUUUUUGUUUUGUGGGAGUGUGUGUGUGUGUGUGUGUGUGUGUGUGUGUGUGUGUGUGGAGUUCACCCAAUUAUAUUCUCAAGCCUAUUAUUUUAAUCCGAGUUUAUUUAUAUUACAUAAAAGAGUUUGAUGUUUACGGUGUGUUUGUUCGAUUUCUCAUCUGGGUUUUGUGAUUUUUGUUGCAAUUUUGUCUUGUGUGCGUGUGCGUGUGCGUGUGCGUGUGCGUGUGCGUGGAAUUUACCCAACUAAUUCUGAAACGGAGUAUUUAAUCUAAGUUCAUUUUGUGUCGCAUAAAGGUAUAAUUUUUAUGUUAAAUCUACUCGAUUUCUCAACUGGGAAUUGACAUUUUUGUUGCAUUUUUAUGUUGUGGUGGUGUUUAUGGUGUUCGCCCAAUUCUCAUACUGCAUAAAGAUGCGAUUUUUGUGCUACAUCGCUUCAAUUUCUCCACUGUAUUUAGAUGCAUGUGUUGUGUUUGUGUAUAUGCGUUUGUGCGGAUGUUUGUGCUAUAUCUCUUCAAUUUCUCCACUGUGUAUUGAGAUCCAUGUGUUGUGUUUGUGUAUCUGCGUGUGUGUGUGUGUGUGUGUGAAUGCUUAGAUGGGUGGAGCACGAUCCUAUGGAGAUCAUGGAGAGCGUGCGUGUGUGCAUGGCGAAGGCGAUCGACAAGGCCACGGCUGACGGCUACAAUGUCGACGCUGGCUUGAAGGCUGUCGGGCUCACCAAUCAGCGGGAGACGACCGUCGCGUGGAGCAAAUCCACCGGCCGCCCCCUCUACAACGCCAUCGUGUGGAUGGAUGUGCGCACCAGCUCCAUUUGCAGGUCCCCGAUUGGAUCCAUUUCGAUCCCUAUUUCCAAAUUCGAGCAAUACCCAUUUGUUGUUGUUUAACGCGUUUUGGUUUGGAUUGCAUAGGAGGUUGGAGAAGGAGCUCUCGGGCGGAAGAAACCAUUUUGUCGACGUGUGCGGUUUGCCGAUUAGUACUUACUUUAGUGCUGUGAAGAUACUGUGGUUGAUGAAGAACGUCGACGCUGUUAAGUCGGCGGUUGCUGCCGGGGACGCCCUCUUUGGCACGGUCGACACGUGGAUGAUUUGGAACUUGACGGGCGGGCUCCAUGUCACCGACUGCUCCAACGCGUCGCGCACCAUGCUUAUGAACAUCAAGACCCUGGAUUGGGACAAGCCCACGUUGGAGACUUUGGGGAUUCCUAUUGAGAUCUUGCCGAAGAUCAUAAGCAAUUCCGAGCUCGUUGGUGCGAUCGCAAAAGGGUGGCCGCUCGCGGGGAUCCCCAUCUCGGGUUGCCUCGGCGACCAGCAUGCGGCCAUGCUGGGGCAAUUGUGCCGAAAGGGCGAGGCCAAGAGCACUUACGGGACCGGCGCCUUCAUACUACUUAACACCGGCGAAGAGAUCGUUCGCUCAUCUCACGGGCUCUUAACCACGAUCGCAUACAAGUUGGGCCCGAGUGCCCCCACCAACUAUGCGAUCGAAGGCUCCAUAGCGAUCGCCGGCGCGGCGGUUCAGUGGUUGAGGGAUGGGCUAGGUUUGAUUAGGUCGGCGGGCGAGAUAGAAGAGCUGGCAGAGUCGGUGGAGAAUUCGGGCGGGGUGUACUUCGUGCCGGCGUUCAACGGUUUGUUCGCGCCGUGGUGGAGGGACGACGCAAGAGGGGUUUGUAUCGGGAUCACGAGGUUCACGAACAAGGGCCACAUUGCGAGGGCGGUGUUGGAGAGCAUGUGUUUUCAGGUGAACGACGUGUUGAAUUCGAUGCAUAAGGAUGUCGACGAGGGAGAGGGGGAGUUCUUGCUUAGGGUUGAUGGCGGCGCUACCGUGAACAACCUUCUCAUGCAGAUUCAGGUAUAUGCUUAGCACAAAGUUAUGAAUUUUGUUCAUUUUUUUUCACUAAAAUACAUGUCUUCUGUUGUUGCUUCAAGCCUUUUUUGAUUUAGGCAUGAAAUUUUAUUGGCUACAAUAUAUGAUUUCGGAGAUUUCGGUGCGGACUUGGGAAAGGUCUCUAUACCAAUUUUGAUAGAUUUCGAUAGAUGUCUCAUAGUGAAAAACGGACUAUUCUAUUACUUGACGGAGUCUCCGUGAUCUACGAAAGCCAUGAAAUUCGUUUAGUUGUGAACCGCAAUACAUUCAUGUCCUCUUUACUCCUAAAAUUUUUACACUUCCAAUGAUUCUUCAUUCUCAACAUCUGAUUCUUCGCAUUCUUAGCUUUGUGAAAACACAUGCCGUUCCUCAAGUUGGCGACAUAUUUACCAUUUUACCAUUUGAUGAUGGCUCAAGAAAAUUCUUUAAACUAAUGGCUCAGUUAUUCUUGUGUGUUUGUAGGCUGAUUUGUUGGGUAGUCCGGUGGUUAGACCGGCCGAUACCGAGACGACCGCACUCGGAGCAGCAUACGCAGCGGGAUUAGCUAUCGGGCUGUGGACCGAGGAGCAAAUAUUCGCAGGCGAGCACAAGGAGAAGACCACUAUCUUCCGCCCGAAGCUGGACGAGGCCGAGCGGAAGCAGAGGUCCGAGUGUUGGUUCAAAGCCGUGUCGAGGACCUUCGAUUUAGCCGAUUUGUCGCUUUAGUUCUAAUUCCCCUUUAACUCCAGUAACUCCAUUUCUCAUUCUGAAUAAGUGAUAUGUGAACUCCUGCAGUGGUUGGACUGGGUUUUGUUGUGCUGUGGUGGUGUUGAUAGGAAUGAAAUUGGAUCAUUCGGCGACUUUUAAUCUUCUGUUGAUACUCGAAUGUUAUCGUACUUGUAGUUCUUAGUUUCUUUAAAAAGUUGUGGAGAUGCAUCAUAAUUCCUUUAUUAAAAUUUGGUCUGAUAUGUUCUGAUUUGAAAGAACAGCAGUAAUUUUCUUUGUUUAGCAAUUUCUUGCAAAAUUGAUAGAAGUAAACACUGGUGCAACAUAUGAUGUAUUUCUUCUGUAGACCAUUUUAUUAUGGUGUCAAUUUAUGUAUUUUUCUUUUUUUGAGUUUAGCCUGCUUUUAAAAGUUUUCGAUUUUCUGAUUUACCUUUCUUAGAAAAAUAAUAUUAAAAAUAUUUUUUUUAUAUUCCAACUUAUUUUAAGUAUAUCUAUGGAGUUUUUGUUAAUGAACCGUUAACAAUAACUGGUAUUUUCAUUAAAUUACUGUUUUGUCCUUUCAAAUAUACUCUUCUAUCAUCAUCGACUUUUCUUAUUUGCACUUAAAUUAGGGGCACAAAAAAUAAUUUAAUUGUUGAUCUUUCGAAUAUAUCCUUCUAUCAUCACUAAUAUUUUUUAUUUGCCCUUUAAUUAAAGUCAAAAGAAGCAUUUGAUUUUUUUUAAACUCUGGUAGAUAAGUAACUCACAUUUAGCCCAAGUUACCUUAACGGAUGGUAACGAUAAAAGUAUUUUGAAAUAACCGAAGAACAUACGAAAAAUAUAUUGAAAAGAAAAAAAAAAGAAGAUAUUUUCGAAGUUUUCCGAGGUAUAUAAACAAUUAUCCCUCUAUCUUUCAAGGGGUGUUAGGUUCUUCAGAAAAACGUGAAAAAUCUGUUUUUUUGGGAAAAAAAAAAAACCAUUUUUCACAAUUUUAUAUUCCAGAUAAAAAUUUGGGAAAUAGAAAUGCCACUUUUCCACAGAACUAGCCAGAAACCUAUUUUUUUGAAUAUUUUUAGAAAAAUCAAACACCCCCUAAGUAAAAAGCAACCACCCCAACCUGCACACGCAGGAUCACCAAAUUCACGGCGCAUUCGCAUAACAGAGACCAAGAAUUCAGAGAGAUGGUUAUGGUUGUGUUGAAGCUGCAGCGUGAACAAAUUCAUAUUUCCAUCGAAGAAUGCACCGGAAAACUGAAUACAUCUAAAUUUAGUCACCUCAAACAACUAAUGAAAAAAUAAUUCUCACUUCAAAGAAGAAUUUGGCACAGGUAGUGGAACAGUUCAAUGGUUCCAACCAUAACUCAAUACCUCAACAGAUGAUAGAUUUCGGAAAUAGAAAGUUAGCUCUACUGCUGAGUCUCUCCACACUGUAAGGACUGUGUAAUGCUUCAUCUCUGAACAUGGUAGCAGAAACAAAACCACUCAAAUCACUCGAUCAGCCGAGCGCGACAAAUCCUCUCUGUACAGCAAAGUAAACUAAUCCGGCGGUCAAUGAAUCUGUUAAAAGCGGUUGGUCUCCGGGUUUUAGUUUCAUGUGCGGCAUCGAACCAAAGCAGAGGAUCUCUAUUUGCUCCUCAUGCAAUGGAACAGACUUUCUCUGCAACAAAAUUUUUAACUAAAUUUAGCAAAUAUUACAAGAAAGCAAAACCGAGCUAAAAAGAAGGGUUUUUUUUUAAAAAAAUUUUUUGUGCAUAUAAAUCCCUGCAAAUAUGUGAAAUGGCACAAUUGCACUUGUUUGUGCGGUGGCCCUAAAAAAGAUAUAAUGCAAAUAAAUAAGGUUUUCGGAGCCACGGACACAAACACCAACUUCGCAGGGGUACCUGUAGAAUUUUGCAUGUUUGCGGAGGUAUAUAUGCACAAAUAAGCACCAUUUUUUUUCUUUUUUUUUUUUAGGAAGAAACACCUUGUCUAGAACUGCCGCAACAAAGCCGAUCAUCAUCUACAUAAGUAGUAUCGACUCCCAUCAUCCACGAACCAACGGAUAUAUCGUCAUGAGAAUAGGUUUUUAGAGAUGCACUGUAUGAAAGAAAGAGAUUGGAAUUCAUAUUUUUAUUUCCAAAAAAAAAGCUCAUCAUCCUACCAGAAGAGAGAAGAACGAGGCUACACUAAAGUCCACGUUCUUAUGCCAGCCAAGGUAGUCCAGCGAUCGUGUACUAUUUAAUAUUGUGACUAAUACCAAGUUGCAAAAACAGCUAAGUGAUGGAAUGACAUGUUGUAUUAAAGUUAAUUUUUGUAAAUGAGUUAAAGAACAACAAUUGGCGUUUGGCGUGCACCUGUUGAUGUUGAUGUAGCGAGCCAAGUUAUUUGACAGUAUAAAUAAAGAACCAGAAGCAUGCCGGAAAUACCUGCAUUCAUAAUUUUUUUUUUUUAAAGAAGAGAAACACUGCUUAAACAAUUAUUAGCAGUUAAAGAAUGAAGUAUCUUGUGAAGAUACAGGAAUCUUUGUUCAAAAUUUCUUACUAAAAAUAAACACUACAAAGUCCGUCCUUUAAGUAGUGAAGUUUCAACCAUAUGAAAAAUCUAUAGAAAUACAACCCACAGUUCUAACUUCUAACUAACUAUCAUAAGUCCAAAUCUAUUAUAAGUAUACGCUCAUGCCACUUGAAGGGUACGUUACCCAUGCAAGAAUAAACAUGAGGAUAUAUCAAAAUGAUGCAAUCAAAAACAUGGAAACUUUACUGGGUAUAAUGGGAUUGGCGCAUUGAAAAUUAUGACCCAAUAUCAACCAAUAUGUUAAAAGCACAUAAAGUUAUAAGGCUCAUCUCAAACUCUUGUUGAUAGUUUUCUUAUUAAAUUGCUCAAGAAAUUACAUUGUACUAAUCACCUUAAUUCAUAUCCACUAGUUAUGCUUGUGAAGGAUACAACAAGAGAUUCAGUAGUUGUGACCAACAAAAUCCUAUGCAUCAUUUCUCUCAAAGUUUCAAUCUUCUCAAACUGUGGCUUCAGUCAAUCCAAUUGAUACGAUGUGACAAAGAGUCAUCAAUAAAUGUUGUGGCAAUGCUAUAUUUAUGAUCAUGCCAAAUAAAACGCGAUAUUAACAUGCCUCAGAAGUUGGGCAAUUGAAAAUUCUCACAAGCAUAAAGCCAUCAUCGAUAAAAAUCAAAUUCCAAAUUGAAAGAAAAUGCAAUAUAUACUCACGAUUUUGAAUCUCCAAAUUUCCACCAUUCAGGUUCAUACCACUGUUUUCCCCUGAAACAUAAAAGAAGAAAUUGGUUAAUAAAAGCAAGGACUCAAAUCCCUCUUCCUUAUACAUGCAAAGAUGGUUGACACUUCAUAAAGUGAAGGGCAUAAUAUUAUUUACUAAAUGAAUUUCUAUAAAACCUGAAGCAUUCUAUAUGCCGAAGAGAAAAACAAAAGGAAUGGAGUUAAUAAAAAAUUACAACAAAUGGAAUGCCUUCAGCUAGGACCUUAAAAGAAAAGGCUUUGCAUUCCGAGAAGAUAUAUAAAAGUCAAGUCAUUUCAAAAGAAGCAAAACUUUUGUUAUAUUGAUUAAGCACCUGAUUAACCUAAUACAGCUAUAAUUUUAAUAUAUAUGUAGGACUUCACCACUGGACAAGCAUACGUACUCAAUUAAAUAAGUAGCACAUGAAGAAUAAAAAAUGCAAUUUCUGCCAUAAAAAUAUGAGAACCAAGAGCAUACUCUUCACUUACGACAACUCCUGACUUCAUGCAGCCCAUGUAGACACCUUGAUGACCACGACGACUUUCAAGAAUCUCAAUUAACCCAUCUAAAACAGAGAGAGAGAGAGAGAGAGAGCAAAAAAAAAAAGGUAUGAUGUUAAAGACUCCUUUGACACUCCAAUAGUCCUACAACAGACAAUGUGUAAGAUUGUGACGUGCUUAUAUAAGAAGGGCACACUAGAACUAAUAACUAAGCUUAAAUAUUUUGGACUGGUGGUUUGGAUCCAACGAGUAAUUAAUGCUAGUUGACUGGAUCGUUACAGUUGAUAUCAGCGCCGAUUCACCACAUCAUCUAAAAAUCUUGGACUAUGUAUGGGACUAUGUAUGGGAUCGCGUUGACGACGUCGUCAGGGCCUAAAACAGGAGGAAUUCGUGAUACCCCCAUAGUCCCAUAUCAAAUAAUGUGGGAGAUUGUGGGGAACUUAUAUGCGACAGGCACGCUAGAACUAAUAAUUGAGCUUAAGCAUUUUGGGCCGGUGGUUUGAACCCAAUGAGCCGUUAGUACUAGUGGGCUAGGUCAAUACAACUCCUAUGGUACAUGUAAAAUUAUUGUUGCAGCAAAUUAGCACAAAGAACCAUUUUUUUAACCUAGGUCAAGGUUGAUAUUAUCAUCAACUUUAACAUAAAACUCUGCAUCCCAUGCUUCAACUGCAGCACUGAAGAAGGAUUUAGCUUUCCUGGGCAACUCAUCUUCAGCUUCCUCAUGACUUUCCUGGUAGAAAAACAGUAGAGCAGAUAAGGAUCAAAGAACUAGAAAAAUCACAUCGGCCGAUUCAUGAGGAGAAUUUAAAGGAAAAAAACUCAAAUCAGAUGUUACACAUUAGAACUAUAAAUUCAUCAAAGAAUUGCACAAACAAAUUCAUAAUUACAAAAUAAAAAGAAGAUAAUAGAGGAUAGAGAAAAUUAGAAGCCAUCAGAACGAUAAACCAUUGAAAUUUGCAAAAUGGAACUUCUGUUUGAGUUAUCAACAACUUACAAGGAUCAAGAAAUCUUUCGUCCGCCGGUUUUCAUCAUCAAUAUUACGAUCUAAGCUAUCACCUCGAUUAGCGCUGCACAUUCCAAAUUUUGAAAUCAAAAUGCAGUGAAUAGCAAAGUCUACAUAAAUUCAAUCCAUCAAUUUUCAUUGCAUAAACUUCACAUGCCAAUACAAGAGUACACAACUAAGUCUUUAGGACCAUAACGAAUUAGAAAAGGUUUGAGAUUUUUUGGAAGAAAACCUCCGACCAAUUACAAAACGGAUGACGACACCCUUUUCCUCGAGCUUCCUUAGGGCAUCACCUGAGAAAUUACAAUGUUAUGUUGAUAUAAGAAAAUACAAAAUGCACAACCAGCAUAAUCAUAAAGACACUGACAAUUUUCAACUCCCCUGGAAUAUGAACUCUAUAAACCUAAAGUAGGAUUCUAGAGAAGAAAAAAAAAAAGUCAAAUUCAGCUAGGGAAAGCGUAAAUUGCGUGCCACAUUGCAUUGUUUGUGUCCAUUUGAACCUUUCACCUAUCAGAUAGUUCAAGUCAAUCAUAUGUUUUAAAAAGCAUAUAAGAUUUUCGCUGAAAUGUGAGUUCAAGACCAGAAUGUUUUGUGAGAAACUAAUGAAGACAACUGGUAUUGGGCUAGCUAUCAGCAAUCAUUAAUUGUCUUAAAGAUACAAAAGCACACAUCUUUUUGAGAUUUUUCCACAAUUUGCAACAACUAGCACACUAACCUCUCGGCAUCCAUGAUCCCCUAAAUAUGUUUCUCCUGAGACGACUCCCGAAUCCGGUAUACACUCCAAUCACUGCAAGAAGUUUCUUCGCCGAUGUAGUAGACCCAUUCCUCCACAAGUAUCCCUGACUCUUUGCAAGAGUCAAGUCCAUCUCCGCCUCAACUAUCUUCCUCCCAAUCUCUCUACAGCAGAACCAUACAAAUUACAAUUUUCCACAAAAAUAACUUGAAAAGAAGGAAAUGAAACCCUAAACAGUUCACGUGAUCUAUACUUGCAUCCAAGGCUCUUCAACUUAUCCUCCACCGUAAGCACCUUCGGAAGCUGCAAUUAACUAUUAUGAGAAUUACAAAAACUACAGAAUCAAAAUCAAAACGAACAGAGAUCGAGAGAAAGAGAGAUCCAUCCACACAUUGCCCGAGUUCAUCUGAAGAAGAGUGGACAGGACGAUCCGAUUCUGCGAAUCCUGCCACAACCUGAUCAAAAAAGAUAAUCACCAAAAAAACGGAAAAUUCGGAUCGAUUGGGAGAAGUUGAGAUCGGAUGGAGAAGGGGGCGGGCGAGGGGAUCGCACCUGCCUGCGACGUAGAGCCAUGCGAGGCACGACAAGAAGCCCAUGAUGAGGUGUGCUUUGGAGGAGGAGGAGGAGGAGGAGGAGGAGGACGACGACGAAGAAGAGGAUGAUGACGAUGAGGGUUUGGAGUGGUGCGGCUUCCACCGGCGCUCGUGCUUCAUGGCGCUCGCGAGCGUCUCGCGGUGGAUCGGGAGGUAGCCGCCGCUCUCCAUGGCAGCGGCGGCGGCGGCGGCGGUGGGGGGGAGGGAUUUGAGAUCGGAGAGGAGGGAGACGAGGAUGGUGUGGGGUUUGAGGAGAGAGAGAGAGAGAGAGAGAGAGAGAGAGAGAGAAAGAGCGUGAGAAUGGGACUGAGAUCGGCCGGAAACCGGUUUGUUUAUAAAGACUGGUCCGAUCGAUCUGAACCGGACCGGACCGGACCGGAAUGGUGUUUUUUUUUUUUGGUUCCAUUUUUUUUGGGUAAACUUAUCCCAGUAAGUUCACACUUUCUUAUUUUAGUACCCUAGUUUAAAGUAUAUUAAUUUAGUACCUCGCAAUUUUUUUUUUUAUUAUCUCUUUCACUAUUUUUUUUUUUUGUUAAAUUAAUUACAAAGUUAAAACUAAAAAAUACUAAAAUAAAUAUUUAAUAAACCUAGGUUGGAUAUGAAAUGUUAAUUGAGAAAUUGAAGAAAAGAGAAAAAUAAAACUAUAGAAUAUUAAAUUGAUACACUUUAAAUCAUAGAAUAUUAAAGUGAGAAAGUGUGUGGUAUUUAAAAUUUACCCUUUUUUAAAUCCAACACUUAACCUUGAGAAUUAGGUGCACCAUUAGUUUCUAAACCUUAUCUAUAUUUUUCCCUUCCAUUUUAACUUUUUUCUCGCGCACAUCUGUCAUAUUAAACACAAUUUUACUAUUUCAGAGUCAUCUUUCGAAAAUAUAAUUAUUUCGAUCUCGCACGCGAUAUUUAAAAGUUCAGCAUUUCAGAUUAAGUUCGGUAUGCCGCAAUAUUUUUUCAAAAAUUUUAAAAAAUGGAUACCAAGAUUGACGAAAAAUUACGAUUGACUAUAUAGAAAGAUUAUUAAAAUUUUAAAUAGUAAAAAAAUAAAUAUAUAUUUAUAUAUUAUUUUAUAUAAAAAUUUAUUUAUUUAUUUUAGUUAUUAAAAAGUAUAAAAACCACUCCAGCAAUACACGUUUCCCCACGCAAACGUUACGGAGCAACGAAGAAAUCGCUCUUUUUUACGAUACACCCACUUUAAACAGACGGUUAAGAUCCGCCCUCUGAUGAAUCGAACAGGUCCGAAGGCUCAGAGCGCAUGGGUAACCAUUUCUAGGGCUGGCAAAUGAGCGAGCAAGCUCGUGUUCGACUCGGUCGCUCGAAUUAAGCUCGAAAUGAGGGAGCCAACUCGUGUUCGAGUCGGCUCGCUCGAAUUNUAUAUAUGUAUAUAUAUAUAUACAUAUAUAUAUAUAUAUAUAUAUAUAUAUAUAUAUAUAUAUAUAUAUAUAUAUAUAUAUAUAUAUAUAUAUUAUGCUAUUAAUAGCACCAAGUCAUUGGUGCUACCAAGUUUUUGGUCAUUGGAUUAAGAGAUGUGUGGUUAGGAUGAUGUGGGCCCCUUAGGGUUGAGUGGGUGGUUGGUUGAAUAGUAUGAUCUAAUGGAUGAAAAUGAUUAAAAGGGUAGAUCUAACGACAGAAAACUUGGUAGCACCAAGUGCUUCGUGCUAUUAAUAGCAUAAUAGCCGGACUCUCUCUCUCUCUCUCUCUCUCUCUCUCUCUCUCUCUCUCUCUCUAUAUAUAUAUAGGCUACUAUAUUAUUAAUAGUACCAAUCACUUGCUAUUAGGUUUUUGAUUUUUGGAUAAAGGGAUGUGCGGUUAGAAUGAUAGUGAUCCCCUAGGGUUGAGUGGGUGGUUAGUUGAAUAAUAUGAUGUAAUGGCACAAAAUUCGAUAGUACCAAAUAUUUAGUACUAUCAAUAAUAUAGUAGCCGAACUCUCUCUCUCUCUCUAUAUAUAUAUAGUCCGGCUACUACACGAUCCAUACUAUCCAUAGUAAGCGCUUUGUAUUAUUGAGUUUUCUGCUGUUAGAUCUGCCUAUAUAUAUAUAGAGUCUGGUUAUUAUACUAUCGAUAGUACCAAGCAUUUAAUACUAUCGAGUUUUCUGGUGUUAAAUCUAUCAUUGUGGACAUUUUCAUUCGUUAGAUCAUAUUAUUCAACUAGCCACCCACUCAACCCUAGGGGGCUACUAUCAUCCUGACCGCACAUCCCUUCAUCUAAGGCUCGAAAAUCUAAUAGCAAGCGGUUUGUACUAUUAAUAGCGUAGUCGCCUAAUUCUAUAUAUAUAGGCUCGGACUACUAUACUCUUAUAAGUAUAGUAGGGCUGGCAAACGAGCGAGCCGGCUCGCGUUCGACUCGUGUUCGGCUCGAUAUUUGGCUCGCUCGAGCUCGACUCGAAAUUAAAUGAGCCGAGCUUGAACAAAAUAAAAGGCUCGAAAUUCAUUUCAAGCCGAGCUUGAGUAUUACUCGGCUCGUUCGAAUUAGGCUCGAAAAGCUCGAAAGCUCGAAAUAUAUAUAUAUAUAUAUAUAUAUAUAUAUAUAUAUAUAUAUAUAUAUAAUGUAUUUUAAUUAUAUAUAGGCUUUAAUUUAUUUUGGGUCAUUAUUGUUGGCCCAUAAAAUAAACCCAACAAGUACAAUCGUGCAAUUGAGCCCAACUCUAAAUUUACAUAACACACUCUCUCUUUCAGACUUUCACUGUUGCACAUAACCCUAAAACAUGAUAACAUUUAAAUUCCCAAAUCUCUAAUUUUUUUCCCCCUCUCUCUCUCUCUCUGACCCUCAUCCAGUCAGGCAGUCACCCUAGCUCACAUUUCUUACAAUUAUUUUGUAUUUUGAACUAUUGAACAUGUUGCAUCAAAUUAUAGAUAAUGUUCUAUAAAAAUUAAACUAUUGAUUAUAUAAUGUUGAGAAUUUCAAUCGGCUCGUUUAGAGCUCGAGCUCGGCUCGACUCGAAAUUAGGCUCGCUCGAGCUCGGCUCGAAUUAAUUUCAAGCCGAGCUUGAGCCUAGAUUUAGGCUCGAAAUUAAUUUCAAGCCGAAUUUGAGCUGACAUAAGCUCGCUCGAGCUCGGCUCGUUUCCACCCCUAAAGUAUAGACCCUUUUAUACUUAUAAAUUUUCAGCCGUUUGAUGUACGGUUAGAAUGAUAGUGGUCCCCUAAGAUUGAGUGGGUGGUUCGUUGAAUAGUAUAAUUUAACAGAUGAAAAUGGUCAAAAGGAUAAAUCUAACGGUCGAAAACUUAUAAGUAUAAAGGGAUUUAUAUUCAUAAAAGUAUAUAUAGUAGCCAAAUUCUCUCUCUCUCUCUCUCUCUCUAUAUAUAUAUAUAUAAUUAUAUAUAAUAUAUUUUAAUUAUAUAAAAUAAUAUAUAUUAUGUAUUUUAAUUAUAUGUAAAUAGAAUUUAGAUUAUUGGGCCCACAAAAUCAAACCAGUAAAAUCCUAUUUUAAUUGCUCUCCUUCUCUCUUUUUCACUUCCUCGCAGAGUCGCUUUCUCUAAUUUUUUUAGUAUUAUAAUAUCGUAUUUCAUGUAUUUAUUUUGUAUAAUUGUAUGUUAAAUUAUUAGAUUUUUUAUAUCAAAUUUUAGAUAAUGUUUUAUAAAAAUAAAACUAUAGAUUGCACGAUAUUAAGAAUUUCAAGCAGCUCGUUUAAAGCUCGAGCUCACUCGACUCGAAGUUAGGCUCGCUCAAGCUCAGCUUGAAUUAAUUUCAAACCAAGCUUGAGUCUAAAUUUAGGCUCGAAAUUAAUUUCAAGCCAAACUUGAGCUGAGGUAAGCUCGCUCUAGCUCGGCUCGAUUCCACCGCUAAAGUCCAUUUCCUUCGUGUUGACUUUUUGUUUGAAUAUGUAUAAUGUAGCAAUACUACUUGGUACAUGUUAAAGUGUUCCAUGAACCUAGUCCACGGUGCGACCACAACAAUUAACUGUUCUGCGGACCUGGUCCACCACGUCAGCCUAUAAAUUUUAAAGCAAAAAAGAUAAGGCUGUUAUAGAUCUCAAAUUUUAAUUUAUUAUAAUUUUCAUUCAAAUUUUAUAAAUUAUUAUAAUUUAUUUUAUAAUAUAAUUUAAUCAUCUAAAUAUAAUAAUAUAAUGUGAGUGAUGUAGUAAAACUACAGUUGAUAAUAUAGAAAUGACUAAAAUACUAUAUUAAUUGUAACAAUAUAAAUGUUAGAAUCAAAAAUUAAAAAAAUUAAAACUGUAGGGCCUAAAUGUCAGUUUAAGAACCAAAAGUAUACUAAAGUCAAAAAAGUUAUUAAAUUCAUUUAAUUCUAUUCGGCAGGUUUUAAAAUUUGUGGAGAAUAAAAUCUUAUAUGGAGAGAGAUUCAUUUAUAAAAUUAUUUAUUUAUUUUAUUUUUUAUAAAUAUUAUUAAAUAUUAUUUUAUAAUAUUAUUAAAUAUUAUAAAUAAUAUUAUAUUCAAUAUUAUAUUUUAUAAUAUUUAAUAAUAUUAUAUUUUUAUUGGUCCAAAAAUAAAGAUGCAAAAUAUGCAAAAUUUAAAAAAACUUAGAUGCGUUGAGCAAUGCUUCUAUGCACCGAACAAAUCUCAACCAUUAAAAUUUUUUAAAUGGACGGUAACGAUAGACCUAUUAAAAGAGGGUGACUGGCACUUGGGGGUAUAGGUAUCGGUCACCACUUUAAUAAGGGUAAAAUUUUUUUUUUAUUACAUGGAGUUUGCAAUGAGGGCAUUUUGAUAAUUUUCCAUCCUCAUAAUAUGCCAUUUUUGUAAAUUUAAAAUAUUCCACCUUCCUUCAUUUUUAUCCUCCAACAUUUUAUCUUUGUAUUAUUACCUUUCCUAAAUUAAACCUCAUGUCUUUAAACCAUAGUUAGUUAAUUCGAAUACGAUAAAAAUUCGAUACGGAUAAAAUACGAAUAAAAUUCGUAUCUCAAUUUUUAAGUUCGUUGAAAAAUACGGUUUAAAAAUUAGAUUCGCCAAUAAUUCGUAUACGCGAUUUAUACGAAAAUUUUACGUUUAUCAUUUAAAAAUUCGGAAUAAAAAUUUGUUUAUUUAAUUAAAAUUUUUUUAGUUUUAUGCUAUUAUCAUGCAUAAAUAAUUAUAAUUCUUAUAAAAUAUAAAAAUAAAAUUGGAUAUAGGUCUAGCUACUAUACUAUUAUGAGUACGAUCGCCCUCGUACUCAUAAGUUGUUUUCGAUGAUAGGGCUUCCGAAUCGACGAUCCACAUCAUUAAACAUUAUUUACAGCAUUUAAAACUUUUAGAAAUCAAAUUUUAUAAAUUUUCGACAUUAUUUAUCUUACGAUCAAAAGGUCACAAAUUUGACAAUUUUUAACGGCCGAUAUGGAAUACUUGCUAGUUUAACGGUGUAAAAGAAUCGGAAUUUGUUGAAUUUUUGAUAGAAAAUUCUAUUCACUAUAUAGAUAAAGAUAAAUAACUCCGAUCUUGAAUUGAAGGAUCCGAUCAUUCUUUUUUAGGACGUCGUUCGAUUUUGACCGUUCAUUUUAUUCCCACUUAAUGGAUUUUAUUAUGAUUUCAAAAUUUUACGAAAUUUAUUUUCUAGAAGUUUUAAAUACUCUAGAUCAUAUUAAACGGAUUGGAUCGUCGAUUCGGAAGCUCCAUCAUUAAAAACAACUUAUGAGUACGAGAGCUUCAAUACUUAUAAUAGUAUAGUAGUCAUGACCUAUAAAAAUCUUACAAAAUAUGAUGAUAUGACAUUAAAAUUUUAUAUCAAAGUUAUUGAUCUUGUUUUAUAUGGUAUAAAGAAUUUUCUAUCAAAAUUUCAUGCGAUUUGGAUAUUUCUACACCGUUAAACUUGCAACCGGCUCACCACAGCUAUUAAAAUUAUUGAUUUUGAGCCCCUUCGAUCACUAGGCAAAUGAUAUCGAAAAAUCACAAAAUUUAUUUUCUAGGUACUUCAAAUACUCUAGAUCAACUUUAACGGAGCCGAUCGUCGAUUCGAAAGUCCGGACAUCGAAAAUAAAGUAGAAGCACGGAGGGCUCCAUGCUUCUAUAAGCAUACCAGCCACACAGACACAAAAAGGGGGAGUGGAGCGAAAAGUCCACCGUAGACCUCUCACUCCACACAGUCCAUGAGAGUGCAGCCUCGUGGACCGCAAUAUUCGGUGGACCUCUCACUCCACACAGUCCACGAGGCUGAGUGCAGCCUCGUGGACCGCGAUAUUUUCCUACACAUAGGCCGCGAUUUCUUUUUCCUCGUCGCUCCUCUUUUCCUUUUUUGUUUUAGAAUCAUUUAGUUUAAAUAGUUAACAAUUUUUAUUUUUUUAACUAUAAUAUAAACUAAAUCUAAAUUUAAAAUUUAAUUUUAAUCAAUAUUUUUAAACUUUAAUAUUAUUUUUACUAUCGAAUUAACAAUUUGAAUUUAAUUUUAAAAAUAAAAACCUUUAAUUUAAAUAAAAAUAAAUGUUAUAUUUAUAAAUACAGCAUAAUAAUUUAUAUUAAAAGUACAAAGAUAAAAAAAUCCACACAUAAAUUUUACCUUAAAUUUUCUAAAAAAGAAGUCGGUCUAUGGUGUAAAAGGUACACUAGGUCCACGAAGUAAUUUCUCUCCGUACGAGGCGUGUACUUGUAGGAUUACACCCCACCGCGAGAUCAGAAUCACACGGCUAUUAUUACACGAACCACUUAAUCCCCCACCAACCAAUGCGGAAUAACUUUUAUUCCCGCAUCUAUUCCCGAUUCUCUAAUUCUCUCUCUCUCUUCAUAUAUAAGCCCCUCUCUCUCCUCUCUCCUCUCUCUCAUUCUCCACCUUUUUUUCUCUCUCUAGAAUCGUUUCCUUCUCCGGCGACGGCGGAGGGCGAUGGCGACGCCGCGGAGGUCGAUAAGGGAGGAGGUGGCGCGGAGCGUGGAGGCGUACCGGCUCCGGCAGCGGAGGAGGAAGAAGCAGCGGCGGAGCUUGAGUUUACCCUACGGCGGCGGAAGAGGAACGUGCUCGUGCUCAUGAGCGACACCGGCGGCGGCCACCGCGCCUCCGCCGAGGCCCUCCGCGACGCGUUCCGGAUCGAGUUCGGCGACGNUCCACCUUUUUUUCUCUCUCUAGAAUCGUUUCCUUCUCCGGCGACGGCGGAGGGCGAUGGCGACGCCGCGGAGGUCGAUAAGGGAGGAGGUGGCGCGGGCGAUGGCGAGGUAGUGUUUUGGGGGGAGGAGGAGGCGGAGGGGACGGUGGAGCUCGCCCAGAUCGGGGCGGAGCGGACGAGGAACGUGCUCGUGCUCAUGAGCGACACCGGCGGCGGCCACCGCGCCUCCGCCGAGGCCCUCCGCGACGCGUUCCGGAUCGAGUUCGGCGACGAUUACAAGGUGCGGGUGCUUAGUUCUUAGGGUUUUAUUUUGGCCGUUUAAUUCGUAUUUAUGCUUCGCCUCUUUGUUAAUUAGGGUUUUUUUUUAGUUUUUUUUUGCCAAUUUUAGGAGUUUCCCUUAUCUUCGUAAUAUUGUUGCUUCAACGUGCACUCUUGGACUAUAAGGAAUAGUUUACUGUGACUCCCUCAACUAUAGGCCAUUUCCAAAUAGACCCCUCAUUUUUUAAAAAAUUUUUAGUUAGUUUAGUGAAUUAAUUUGAGAAUUUUGUCCAAUUUAAACAGUGGUAUAGUUAAAUUAAAUUGUUUUGAAUAUUUUUUCAGCUAUUUUGUCAACUAUUUGAUAACUAGUUGCUUAAUUUUCACGAAUCUCGAACUUGAUUUAAAGUAAUUUAGAUUAACAUAAUAAAAAAUUAUAUAAUUUCUCAAUAAAAAAAAUUAGAGUUGAAGGUCUCCAUAGAUCUUUACCUGAGAUUUUGUGCACAUAAAUUGCUUAUCAAAUUGUCUGUGUCAAAAGAAUUGCUUAUGAAGGACAAUAUUUUUUCUGCUUACCUGGUAGUUGACUUUGACUAAAAGGGGACCAAGCUCUUCCCGUUUCCUCUGCCACAACUGUAAAUUUGUCUUUUUUUUUAAUUUAAAUUGAUUUAAAAUUGUGCUUUUGAUCUUCUAAAUGGAUGUUUCGAUUUAAAAUUUUGCAGGUGUUUGUUAAGGAUUUGUUUAAAGAUCAUGCAGGAUGGCCACUGAAUAACAUGGAGAGAUCCUACAAGUUCAUGCUGAAGCAUGUCCAGCUGUGGAAAGUGGCCUUUCACUCCACCUCCCCUCGCUGGGUCCACAACUCCUAUCUCGCCGCACUCGCCGCCUUCUAUGCCACGUAUGGAUUAUCUGUCUUGCUUGUUGUUGUGAAAUUUGGAACAGUGAUUCAUACAGAGGGAGACACAGAACCUUUUCAAAUGUCUUAUAUUUAAGUACUAAUUUAGUCGUAGUCUAUGAUGGAGAAUUGGUAUGGGAAACAGGGGAAAAAAAAUUUCCUUAAAAAGUGAGGCUGGUUCUUAAUGUAAUGAUAUUUAAAUAUAAUGCACUUGUCAUCUAGGUUUCUUCCCUGAAAAAUGAAUGCUAUCACUAUAUCUUGGAUAAUAUGAAAAUGUGCAUCGCCUAGCAAGACUUUCAAAUGUCUGUGUAGUUAUGCCCAGUCCUGUUUGGCCCAGCUAGAGUUCCUGCAAAAGUGUUGUUUCAAUAUGUGUGUUGAAAGGAGAAUAGGUGCAUUCUGAUACUGCUAGAAGAGCAAGCUUGAAAUCGCAGCUUCUGUUUCUAGGGUUGAGAAACUUUUGGCUCCCAACUGCAGCAAAAAUCUUUCAACCUUUACUGUUCGCGAAAAUGCCUGAACCCUGCGUCUCAAGAGCAGGGCAUGUUCUAGAAGCAGGGCCAAAUGAGCACCAGAAAUCCUUCAAGAAUAGAAAACAGUGUCCCUAAAUUUUAAAAUGCUGCCUGCAGAAAAUAGCUUGUAUUUUACUAAAAAUACACACGUCAUACGAAACUUGAUUGGUAUCUGAGUUGCUUAACAUUUGUGGCUGAAGGAAGUUUGAGGCCGGUCUGAAGAAGUACAAGCCGGACAUCAUCAUCAGCGUCCAUCCCCUCAUGCAACACAUUCCUCUGUGGGUUCUCAAAUGGCAGGCCCUUCAAAAUAGAGUUGUUUUCGUCACCGUCAUCACAGACCUAAAUACUUGCCACCCUACAUGGUAUGCCCAACUGGUUUGUGAAGGAAAAAUUCUAAGUGCCACUUUCAUUUACCUUCUUCAUGAAGCAUUUGAGAAGAAACACUUUAGAUCUUAUAACCUUAAAUUAAUCAAAGAAUAAAAAACUUUUCAGGUUUCAUACCAGUGUCAACAGAUGUUAUUGCCCUUCAGAGGAGGUUUCAAAGAGGGCAUUGCUCGAGGGCCUAGAGCCUUCGCAGAUUCGUGUGUUUGGCUUGCCAAUUAGACCGUCCUUUUGUCGUGCGGUACUUGUAAAGGUAUGUUUUUGCCGACCAUUACAUUUUAUUUUAGAAUUCUGUUCUUGGAUGAUUUAUGAUAUGUCCUCAGAGUCCCAAGUUAACAAUGUAGUCUCUGAAGUUUGUCUUGUGUAAUGACUAGUUCCUUCCAUUAGUCUAUCAUAUAAAGAACAGCACCACAUCCAACAUUGUAAGACCUGGCAGAGUAACUGAACAACUUGUUAUGCGAAGCAAAUUUUAGGGACUAAAUUGUUGAAAUUAGAACCCUUGAGGAUGUAGUUGAAAUCAAACUUCAGAAUAAAAUGUGUAUUUAACCCAUAAUUUCAAAGCCAUAUUUCUCAUCAGUUGAUCGUGGAAUGUGACCUUGCGAGCAGGAAGAGUUGAGAAAAGAGCUUGAUAUGGACCCUGAAUUGCCUGCUGUGCUAUUGAUGGGAGGUGGCGAGGGAAUGGGUCCAGUCAAGACUACUGCAAGGGCCCUUGGAGAAUCACUCUUUGACGAAGAGCUUGGAAGGCCAAUUGGGCAAUUGAUUGUUAUCUGCGGCCGUAAUAAAUCUUUAAGCUCCACACUAGGUGCUCUCGAGUGGAAGAUCCCUGUGAAGGUACUUGCAUGCUAGCAUGUCAUGCUAUACUUUAUAAAUUUCCAGUGAUUGUUGGUACUCGCAUUGUCAUGUCAUUCUAUGCCUGCGGUAACUUAAUUCGGCCUUUAUUUCUUGCCAAGUGGGAUUGAUUAUAUGAAUCCAUUAGAGAAACCGAAUUCGAAUCCCUUUUAUAAUCCUCCUCCACUAAAUGUUUAGAUGAAUUAUCUUUUCUCCUCAGCUAUCUCUGUUUUCACCACCUCUAUGCAUAUGACUUUGUUGCCUCUUAUAUCUUCUUGCAUAUCUUACUUGGAAACUUAACUCUUCUGGACGCAUGCAGGUUAACUGAAAUAGAGGCAUGACUUUAAAAUUUCUCAUUUAAGAAAGUAAUUCCUUUUUCACUACAGAUUAGGGGAUUUGAGACUCAGAUGGAAAAGUGGAUGGGGGCUUGCGAUUGCAUUAUUACGAAGGUAUGUUAAUCUCUAUAUUUCAGUUGAAUUGGUGAUACACUACUUUAUGUUCGACGCAUUAUCUUGGUAGAAAAUUCACUAUAAUUCUGAUGCUGUGUUUAUUUCAUCAAUUAUGUCUCUAGGCAGGGCCAGGUACUAUUGCCGAAGCGCUGAUAAGGGGGCUUCCCAUUAUCCUCAAUGACUUUAUUCCUGGACAGGUUUGUAAUUAGAAGCCAUUUUCUUAAGCAAUCCGAACUUGCAUUAGAAGCACGGUAACUUAUCUCUAACAUUCGUGUCGAACAGCUUCAUUUUUAAGUUCACAGAUGCAUUGCUUAGUAGCCACUGUAAGCUAACACAAACAUUUGAAGCAACCAUUUCUUCUAUAAACUAGAGACAAGAAAAUGAAGAAUGUUAGAUCUUUCGAUCUCUAUAUAAAAUCAUAAUCACAACACGAAACUUCUCCUAAAACUAGUCCAUUCCUUUGAUAUCAUGCUAACUUUUUUGUACCAGAAGCAAUCUCUACUUUGGUCCUAACAGAAUAUUUUCAUAAAUCAUAUCACAGGAAGUUGGAAACGUCCCUUAUGUCGUUGACAACGGGGCGGGGGUGUUCUCAAAAAGUCCGAAGGAGACAGCCAAAUUAGUCGCGCAAUGGUUCGGCCCCGAAUCAGGAGAGCUCAAAAGGAUAUCGGAGAAUGCACUUAAACUGGCUCAGCCGGAUGCAGUGUUCCACAUCGUUCAGGAUAUCCAUGAGCUCGCCGAGAAACAAGGUCCCUUAUCGCGCAUAUCUUAUCCCCUCACUUCAACCUUCUACCAAUCACCAUAACAGCUCACUGUUUCGCUGUUCGAUUGAUCGAUCGAAACCGCCCAAAUCUAACCUCUGCUCUGAGGGUUUUGAAUUGUGCAUAUAUGUACAGCUAGGAUUGGCAUUCUUUGGUACUGAUCAUGGCUCAUUUUGUGCGGUGAAGUCUCUACAUAAUUCUCGCAGAUGUCGUUCUCGACGUAUUAUUAGGUUGUUAGACGUAAAUUCGUGUAUAAUUAUUAUACGGCGUGGAUGAUAGACUUUUGUUGUACAGAUUACUGCAAUUCCUUGUAUAAAAUGCAUGGCAUGUACCUAAGCGUGCGGGAGAAUGUUUUCUUGUUUGUGUUAUUUGUUACUAAUUUUGAUACCAAAGUUUGCAAUAUUAGUAAUAGCUGUGCUGAUAAGCUCUUGUGGAAGUUAAUUGUGUGUCAUGCGACUUUGUAUUAGGGCUGUUUUCAAAUUUGUCUUUUAUAAUAUUAUAGAUAAGCAUGCUCUACGGUAUUUGGACUUCUCAUGAAACCAAAUUUUAUCAAUUUUCGAUAUUAUUUACCCACUGAUCUGGCGGUGUCACAUACACAUUGCAUUUGCAGUAAAAAAAAUAUAAAUUUUGAGAUCACUUAAUGUAAGUGACCUGACUAGUUAGCAAACAAACCAUCUUAAAAUGCUUAAAUUUAGUUAUUAUUACUAAGAUGUGUAGUCUUAUAUUCUCCUUUUUUCAUCCGAUGUGGGACUAUUUGAAUGUUACAGACUCUCUCAGUUAUGUUUAAAUUCAGUUAUUAUUAUUAAGAUGCGUAAUCUUGUAUUCCUCUUUUCUCAUCCAAUGUGAGACUAUUUGGAUAUUACGAACUCUCUCAAUUUAGACCUUAACGUUCUCAACAAGUCCAAACCUAGACCACAAACAUAUAGAUCAAAAUUACCAGGUGACAUGAGAUUCUAAAGAUGACUCCUGCAGGUUUAAGAGGUGGCUCUCACCAAAUUGUCUCUGAUACCAAUUGUAACAAUCCGAUUCACUAGAAAUAAUAACUCUUUAGGCUCAAACCACCGGCCGAAAUAUUUAAGCCUAAUUAUUAUUACUACGGUGCAUAGCCUCAUAUUCCUAAUAAGAAAUUCCUUUCCCAUCCAAUGUGAGACUAUUGGGAUGUUACAUUUAAAUAAUAGGUAAAUAAUAUUGACAAAUCACAAAAUUUCGUUUCUAAGAAGUUCAAAUACCGUAGAUCAUGUUUACCAGCAUCGAUAGUUGGUUCGGAUGAUCCAUCAUCAGAAAUGACAUGAAAGUACCAAGAGUUUGACUCUUCUAAAAUUAUUCCAGCUCAAUCACUAAUAUGUUCUCGGAAUAAGAUUAAUGACAUCACUGAUGGAAUGCACAGUCAUAAUAAAUCAUGGCUUACCAAGAUCUUACAAGAAACUAAACUCAAAUUCUCAGCUCACAAUCACAAAAGAAAAUCCUUACAGCGCACAAAGUUAUCACCAGAUAACUUAUCCUCACCCAUAAAAUAACCUUUACAAAAAUCCGUAAAUAAGGAUUGGACAAUUUGCCUAAUAAGAAAGACAUUAUUUGACACAAAAUACUUUAUUAAUUAUAUAGUCUCGCAAGACAUAAUUUGGCACGGAAUACUCGAUUCAUUAUUCACAUUGAGUUUGCAGAAGAUCCCAUAAUUCCAUCAAAAGGAUCACUAGCUUCAUGCAUAGAUUAGAAUAUAGUGUAAAAUAGAUGACGAAAGCGAGUAACUAAGGGAAACCUCCAUGCUCUUGAGCUCCGACUGCCCCGUAUCAGCAAAAGGUUAUUUGGCAUGUAGGAAAAUUCCAUAGCUGACUUGGAAUCUCUCGAAAACUUUUCACAGAGUAAACUGAUGCCUCGCGCAAUUAGUGAGAGAAGCAAAAGCACUUUUUGAGAAGAGAAAACACCUCUUCCACAAAGAUUUUCUUACGCUGUUUCAGAAGUUUUACUACGAAGAAACCCGUAAAAAGCAGUUGCAAAGACUAUUUAUCCGACGGUUGUACAGAUGGAUUGCUGCGUAUACAACCCGUUCACAGCAUUCAUGAAAUUCUGUUUGCUUCUUCUCCUCUUGGAGACCACUGUGAAACCUUCGGUAUCCUUUUCGCCUUUUCGAAUUUCUGCUUUCCUCAAUUGCUCAAGACCAGAAUCAUUGUUUACCAUAUUGCUACUCUGCUCUCCACUUUGCAUGCUUUCGGCAGCAUUUGGUUCCUUAAUUUCCUGAGUCUCAACCGAAUCGCUCAAACUGUUCCGACUUGACUUAACAAUGAAGCUAAGCAGAAUUUGUCUCGCAAGCUCGGUCUUUUGCUCAUUCUGUGUGUUAUCUUUGCCUCUAGUUUCUUUACUCUUUCCUCCCUCACUAACUUUUUCAGCUUUUUUUAUCUCUUCUUUAAAAACUUCAUCUGAAGUCCCCUCCUCUAUAUAGUUUUCGGGAUUUUGAGCAUCUAAAUCUUUUUUAAUUUGCUGCAACGCUUUCCCAGGGACGAACUCAGCUGCAUGAGGAUUCAUUACGCUAGAAGAGAGGCUACUUCUUGCAACCGCGCUUUGGCUGUUUGAGAAGCCCGGCUUCCUACGGAAAGAACUUCCAGCUCUAUAAUGCAAAUUCGAUCUUGGACCGCGAGUGACUCUAGUAUUAAUAGAGUGAGGCGAGGGGAUCUCCAUAGUUGCAUUUGGAAAUGCCUGGUGAACAACUUUCAUAUCAUAAAUCGCGACUGUAUUGUACGGGUGGGACAUUGAUAAAAGCGAGCCCGGAUUAAACGGAGGAGCCGAAGCUGAGAGUUUGCUUCCGCUUGUUGUAUCUUUCUUGGGUUCUAAUGAAUUUUUGUUAUCAUCGCUCUUCGGAGAUUUUUCCUCUGAAGUUGCUUCUUCAACAGGACUCGAGUUCAUCUCUUUCUCAGCAUCGUCAAUUGGUAAUUCCAUUUCAAAUUUCGUCUUUUCAACUUUAUUCUCAUCCUCUGAUAUGUUGAACUGAUUUAUAACUUCUUGGGUCUCGUUGUUUGCCUCCUCGUUUUCCGCCGCCUCAUUUUUUGUCUCAUCGUUUUUUGCUUCCUCGUCUUUUGUCUCAUCGUUUUUUGCCUCCGCAUCUUUUGUCUCAUCGUUUUUUGCCUCUCGUUCUUCUUCUUUUUCUAAAACUGGCUUCAAGACAGUGCCAGGAGGCGAUACCGCUACUUCCUUGUAUGAAACCAACUUUGAAGCAAUAGUGGCCACCCUGCUCGAGCUAGAAGCUUUUGUGCUUUGAUCAGAUUUAAUCAAAGAUUCAGAAGUCUUAGCCUGUAAAAGAGCUUUUCCAGGUGAAGAAGAAGACUCACUUGACGUGCUUUUUGGCUCAACAAUAUUGCCUCUAUGUGCUUGUGGCAUAUUUUUUCUUCUGUAACUCGAAUAACCUGUAUUUUCUGAGCUAUCUACGAGUAAUUUGGCAAGAUUUGGCCUUUUUCGUCGCGUUUGAACGGAUCGUCCUUUUGAUGCGGCCUCUUGCCAUCCUUCAUCUGAAGAUUCCUCGGGGGAAGGUAAAUCACUUUGUUGUAAUUCAUUGGGAAUGAAUUUAUCGACUUUUUUGACUUCUUUGACCUUUUCUAGGCGUUCUUGAGGCCUUCUUGAUUUUGUAGGCUCUUCUUUCACUGUUUGAAUGUUCGCAUUUUCCAUACCAUGCUGGGAAUUGACUUCACUUUUAAUGAACUCCUCUUGGUUAGAUCUGCUAGUGUUCUGCAUUAAAUACUAUGCAAUGUAAAGAAGGCAAAAAUCUUAUUAGUCUACAAUUACAUAAAAAAACUAAAAUACUCCUGGCAUUGUGAAAAGGCCAUUAAAAGCGGCCGUCAAAUGGCAUACAUUACCAGAUCCAAUUAUGACAGCUUUUAAAUUAUCAUUGCAUAAUGUGUAGUUAUUUGUAGCAUAAUAAGUGAAGUUCCUAUGAAUUCAGCAACAUUUCAGAAACAAAUUAUGCAGAGAGCAGUUUUGUUUUUGUAUCUCAUUUUAAUAAGGUACUUCACGAUAACAUUAUAUGGUUUUGAUAUACCAACCUUUGCACGCCGGUGCUUUCUUUGCGCAUCUCUCUCUUUUGUAUCUUGGUCUGGGUUUAUGAAGUCAAGAAGAUCUGAUACACUGAAAAGCUAGCAUGUUUCAAUUCGGAGGAACAUCUCUCUACUGUUUAACAUGAUAAUAACAAGCAGGAGUUUCAUACCUCAGGUGACCUUUACUGGCAAUAGAUGCAUCAGGCUUCGGGAUGCCUCUUCGAGCAGCCUCUUGCUGCUCUAAAGCUUUCGAUUCAAAAUACUCCAGCCACGCAGCAGCAUCCUAGAUAGAAUCAAUAAUUGCACCAAAUUAUCAGUUUUGCAGUUUCUAUUUAUGCACGAAAAUUUGCGUACAGAAAAUUAUCCGAACGAACCUGAGUACGAAGAUCCUCUGAUCCAAGUUUUGCCUGAAGUAUCUGCAAAGUCGUUUGUUCAUGUUGCACACUUAAUGUGUAUGCAUCCAUCAUGGAAAGAGCUAUGGCAAUGGCAUGGUAGCUCGCAGCAGUCUAUUAUUUAUAACAAAUAUUAGUAAAGAAAUAAGAGUAGCGUUAUCGCGGGAUUGAGUGAUAAAAAGAUGGUGUAAAACAUGUAAAAGAAGCUCAUCACUGUCGUCAGAGAGGGAAAGAGAGAGGAAACCUGUAUGUGAUCGGCACCAAGCAAUCUUAUGUUGCAUUUUAGGGCUUCAUGUAGGUAUCUGAGAGCAACAUGAACAUUACCCAUGCCUUCUUCCAUCAUUGCUACAUUUAUGUAGGUUGCGGCAGAAUUCGGAUGUGAGAGGCCGCACGAGAAUUGAAGAAGAUAGAGUGCACGAUUCACAUAUCUGAGAAAUGUAAACAUCAUUAGCACAAUAACAGAAAUUCAUACCAAACUAUUAUGUGCAAAUAAAUGUCCAACUCCGUAGAGAUUAGGUUAAGAUAAAAAUUUGAAAACCAAGAUAGAAAUCUGAGUUCGAAUAGCAAAAGCACAAACUCUCAUCAAAUAUUUCCCUUCUCUGCAGUAGAAAUAAAGCUCUAUAGAGAUCGACCGCCUCCAGAGUAAAAUAGAACUGGAGUACCUUUUACUAAUACAAGUAGAGACUAAAAAUGAAAAUCACUUAAUGUCGAAAAGGACAAUUCACUGUCUACUCUGUAAUUCAUGCAAUUCUCAAAAAUGUCGUAAAGAAUUUGCAAUGCAUCUAAUGACUUCGUUUGUCCCGCAAAAUCAACAUAGAGAGACCUUGGAAAUAUAUAUUAAAAAAAAAAAGGCUGCUAGUUUUUGAAGUCAAAUAUAAUUCAGGUUCAUGAACCUAAUUUUAUUGUAUGAACAAUUAAUAUGAUGCCGCCUUCACAAUCAACUGACCUAUUUCUUUUUCAACUCCAGUGGCUUGUCGGAACUCACUCAUAUCAUUCAUUAUUUUGAGUAUUAUAAAAAGUUACAAGUAGCUAGCUACCAAUGGAUGAAACAAACAAUAGAAGCAAGACAUAUAGGGCCGAUAAGCUUUAUACACCACAUGUAAUCAAAACAAGGGGGAUUUAUUUUUGUCUUUAUCUCAAGGGGAAAUAGCUGCCAGCAUUCUUCAGAAGAUACCUUAUCUAUUCCUUUUGAUGAUGUAGACCAAAACUUAAGAAAGAGAAUAGCUAACAAAGAAACAUGGUCAUGACAUCUUGCAGUUAGAUUCCUCAGAGCAAGGAUAAAAACCAAGCUUACUUCAAAGCCAAUUCAAUGUGUUGGAGUCGGUAGUAAAAGACAGAAAGAUCCCCAUAGCUUUUCAUGGUCUCAGGAUGGUCAAGACCAAGCUCUCUUUCAUUGAUAUCAAGAGCCUUCUGCUGAUAUAUAGUAGCCUGUAAACCAGAAGGAAAAAAAAGCUACGCAUGAGCAUCAGAGGAUAUGAAAAAUAUAUAUGUUUGAACUAUGUUAAUAAUUAUAAGAGCUUGGAAUCUAAUCCAGAUCAUGCUUAUUGUUUGUCAUCAAAAAGUAAGAGGCCGUCAUGUUACUCAGAAAAGCUGAUGUCUAUUACCUGAUUAAAAUCUCCAGUGUGAUAAAGAACUACUGCAAGAAGACUGUAAGCAUUAGCCGUCAUUCGAUGAUAUGGGCCACAAACCGCUAUCAAUUUAGAUAAUGCCUACAAAACAAAAAUAUGAAGAAAGGUAUUAGUGAAUUAUAAUAGUGAUUUAUUAAAUGAUUAGUCAAUAUAUAGAUAAGAGCAGAAAAAUAAGCAAAUACCUUUGUGCCAUAACUGACAGCAUCAUCUAGCUUUCCUUUAUCCAAUGCAGUCUUUGAAGAUUCCAAUAAGUUCCGACCAUCUGCAGAGGUACAGGCCAUGUACUGCAUAUCGGAUUCAAAAACCAUCAGUUGAUCAAGUAGAAUGCUUAGUCUAAAAACAAAUUACGACAACCAAUUAGUGUCUUAUCAUACUUUGUAAACAGGAACCAUGCUGAUAAUAUCAGACUUCUCAAAGGGGUUUGGGCUAUUCAUGUCGUAGUCUCUAGCAACCAAUUCCAAUCCAACCUGUAUAGAGAGCAUGUGAGUGAGACUACUAUACAAGAGGUUGAAUGGAUAUUUGCAUCUUCUAGAAUUUUCGUACCUUAUUACAAAGUCCUCGAAGAAGUACAAAUUUCCUCAAGUGCUGAAAUUCAUCCCUUAGUCUCCAAGAAAACCUCUUCGCGAUGAAGGUUUCUACCCACUUCUUGGUAAGAGUUUGUUCAACAAGCAAAUCUUGGUCAUCAGUUACUACUGUUGAGGACCCCAACAAGAUAUUCAAGGUCUCAGCAAUUGCGGAGGACAAAUCUGACAAAUUGUCAACUGCUGCAACCACCGCUCGCAGAAUGUACUUGAAGGCUCGAAUAACCAUCUCAUGAAAGCAUAUCGCCUGUAUGUGUGGUAGCUUCUCUGCAAGUUCCACCUGUUGUAUUUAAAAACAAGGCCAAACUUAGUAGAAAAUUCACAAGAGCAAGGCUACUUAACAGAAACCAACCCUGAUACUUGUACUCACCACACGUCCUAACGAGCACAUAUUAAGCCCCCUUGUAUGCAUAAAGUCUGUUAAGGUUCUUCCAUCAACUGGAGAAAGCUCAAGUGAUGCAAAAUCCGCCACCUAUUGAAGCAAUAACUUUAUGAUGAAGCCAAAAAAAGCACAUGAGAUUUAAAGGCAGGUAUCAGUUUAAACCCUACCAGCUUUGGAAGUGCGACCUCAUCAUAGAACUUAUGUGCCAUCAUGGUGAGCUCAUCUAGAGACUGCUUCAAGAAGAAAUUUAAGUCAGUAGAUAGAGAGAUAUAGACCAAUUCUGAUAUAUUGAAGUUGCUGAUGCAGUGACUGUGUAUGGUUACUGUGGACAAAAGACAUUACAAGCUUUAGAAGGAAACAUAAACUGAUGUGACUUUUCUGGUUAAUGGGAAUUGGUAUUCUUUCCUUCCUAUGAAGGAAUAUUACAUUUCAUUGAUUGCUAAUACAAAGUAGAUCAAUAUCUUAUCCAAUGGAAAGAAGAAGUUUUAUUAAUUUAUCUGUUCUUUCUCAAAGACCAUCUGCAUUAACAAGUUGAUCAGAACAAAUAAACAAAUUAUCUAAUAGACAAUUUUGACUGCGAUAAGAAAACAAAUCAUGGAAAAACAUUGAGUUGUGCUGAUCAUUAUUUUUUUCACAGCAGGAUACCCUUUUCCAAGAGCAUGUUAAACUUUUACGCCUAACCAAAUGAUUGCAGGCAAAUUCAUGAUUCUUCAGCAUUAUUUGAUAUUAUUAGAUCCUACAAGGAUAUCCUAGAUAUAUAGUUUACAUAAAUAGUUUUCACAAUAACGAAGAAGCUGUAUUGUAUUUUCUAACAAAUCAUAUAUAGUUUGUUCCUAUACAGCCAAUUAAUGCAUUUGACUAUUCAAGAAUCUAGUUGCGUAUGAUUGUCCGUUGCUCGUAAACUUCUAAGUUAGUGUCUUCUUUUCACGAGGCACUGCAGAACAAGCACAUGCUAAUAGUCAGAAGCAAGUACCUUCUGAUGAAGACCAGUCCCUGAAUCUUUCAAACGGCAAAAGGCUUCUUCAGGCAGCAAUUUCCUAAUCUCACUUUCCUCAGUCGAUACAGACUGUUUGAGCUCCUCAUUCACUGCAUCUGUUUCACGUACGCUGCUUUUCGCAGAAUCAUCCUUCUCGGGGUUACCAUCCACAAUAUCUGUUUUCUUUUUGAUUUUCCUUAGCUGUUCAAAAUGCUUUCCGAGACCCUUAACUGGUGAUUCAGUCUGAGUAUCCUCCUUCUUUCCCUUCGACACCUCAGCAGGUGAACUGUCCUUUUUCUGCAAGUGUUGAAACCAGCAAGCACCAAGCUCCCAUCGAAUCGACCUGUUGGUAUUGCUCGAUUCUUUCUCUAAUUUAGUCAAGCUGUUACAAAGUACUUUUCGUGCUAAAAUCCGUGUUGAACUUCCAGAAUGAGAAUUAGGAGAAUGCUGAUUUUCCACCGAUGGAUCCACAGAAAAUUUGGCAAGUGGUAUUCUUAAGCUGCAGAAAGAUUUCUAAAUACUUAGCUUAUAUUUAUCCUUAAGGUUCGCUUUAGCAAUUAAAAACUAUAAUAAUAAUAAUCAAAAAAAAGAUUAAGGAAAUAUCUGCGUAAAAGGUACCAUUGUGCAUUUUAGUGUGUUUAUGUAGCAAACCUGUUGAUAUUCAAGGCAUUAGAACCUCCAUCUGGUUGAUCAUCUACAACAAUGUCCAGAUUUGCAUCGUUUGUUUCUCUUACAUGUCCUGAAACCCUAACAGUUGCAGUAUAUCCGCAAUGUUUAAGAACAACAACUCCUAAGGUGGCAGUAUCCUGCAAAUCAUAUAUUCUAUCAGUACUACCCAUGAGAGAACAACUUUCAUUACAAAGAAAUAAAGUAAGGCAUUCUUACUUUAACAACAACAUUCUCAUCAGCCGUUAAACCUUUAAGAAGAUUUCUUACAGAGACAUCCUUAGGGCUCAUGUUAAGCAACACACUCCCAUCAACUUUCUCCUCCUGCUUCGAGCUACCAUCUAACUGAUCCCUUUUCACAACCAUGUACAAAUCUCCAACUCGUUCUUCAUGCAGAAUUGAGCCAUUAAGACCAUGCCCAGAAGCAGUUGAAUUUGGUUUGGAGUCAAUGAGACCACGUAUUGCUUUGACAGCUUUAAAAAUUGCUGUAUCUACAAAAAGAUUUUGUAAUAAAAAGGCCUUCCUAUCUCUGAUCAGCCUCUCCUCUUCCGUUUUGCAUAGCAUUCUCGCCAAGAUUGAAAAUUCUGUCGCCCAACGUCGUUUAUCGUAUUUACCAUCUCGCCCAUGACCACCACCAUUCCCACCCCAGUUCUCAUCUUCAACAGGGAGAGAGGGACAUUUCGAAGAAGAAUCGACAAAUAUAGGGGGCACAAGCCAGGUAUUGGCACGGAAUCCGUACGGGAGAUUACCAAACUAAAAUAUGCCGAUAAUUAUAUCAGUAAAUAGUAAUAUAAAUUCCAGUAUCCUAUUUUACUCUACUGCCAAAUAAUGCAUAUGAGACGAGUUUAGGUUUAGGACCUUGUUAUGGUCUACAAAAGCUUUCAUUAGGGACUCGUAGGCCUGCUCAUAACAAGAACAAUCAUUCAGUUAGAAAAUAUAAAAAGAUAGGAUUGAGGCUUGUAGCAAGGAGAAACUUUCAACAAAAGGAGUGGCAAAAGCAACAAUAAGACUAGUAGUUAAAAAAAAAAAAAAAACAGUCAAUUUAAAUUGCACAAGACUAUAACAAAAGCAAGAGAAGCUUUGGCAUAUAAACAGGUAAACUACUGGUUACUUACAUUUGCAAAUGCGCUGCUAAGCUGCUGCAAAAGAUCCACGAGGGAGCGGCUUAGGAUAUAUUGCUUCCCAGUUGUAUAAAAUCCUUUGACAGAGGCAACUAUAUUUAGAAGCUUCCCAUUACAAACUUUAACCUGCAUAAAUAGCAAUUCAUAGUAAAACAUACAAUGAAAACAUAAAAUAUAACAAGGUGGAAAGAAGAAGAAAAUACUGUAUCAAAUAUGGCACGGCCAAUAAUGUUCAGUGUGAAAUUCAAAUUAAGAUACAUAAAAUAUAUGAUAGAGCUCUUUCCAUGAACACAUGAUAUUUCAAGCUGGCUCAUUUAGGUUCACACAGAACUCAGGCUAUGCACUUUUGAUCUUUAGAUUGAGUAACGAAUGUGGAAAAUGAGAUUAAGCUGUGAUCUUAUUUCUACUGCUACAUUUCUACUGCUACAUAUCCAUCAAACUUCCAAAGCACAAACUUUCCUUCUCACAUUAAUUUUACUGUUUUGCUAUGUAAUGUAAACAAAUUUAAGGUUUUGUGAGAGACAUUGUCAUGACUACUACUCUGAGCACAAGAGCUAGAAAUGGGAAUCCAUAUGCACUAUGAUAAUGCGAUGAACAAACCAAGAAACAUAGUUUACAAGUACAAAUCAUAACCAUAAGCUUACUUAUUUACUCUCUCUCUUUUUUUCCCAUCUUUCUCUCGUUCAAGCAUUUCAACAAACACUUUCUGCGCAAUACAAUGAACAACAUCCUACAAGAAUAUUGUUCACAAUCAAAUCACCUCAAUUUCAAAAUCCUAACCAUAAGGACACACCAUGAGCACAUCCUACAAAAUCAUACCAUACAAAUCAUAACCAUAAGCUUCAUUAUUUAAUUCUUCUCCUAUUUUUCUCUCAUUCAAGCAUUUCAACAAACAAUUUUUGCACAACACCAUGAACAACAUCCUACAAGAAUAUAAUUCACAAUCAAAUCACCUCGAGUUCGAAAUAGUCGCCCUCCCGCCUCUCCGCGCAGAUCCCACCUUCGCGCCGCCGCAAAACUGCGAGAGCAAAGAUUACAUUUUUACCAACAUAGGCACCAGUAACAACCCACGAAGCUCACAACGGGCGCAAGAUACCGUACACUGGAUCGGAGAGACCACGUGGGCGAAGGAGAAGAACUCGUAGAAGUCCCCGAGCUUCGGCGCGGGGUGUAUCGCGGCCAUGUCGAACCUGUCGGAGAUGGCGGGUGCCGGAGACUCCGCAUCCGAGGGAGAGGGAGAGGGAGGAGGCCCGGAUGGGGAUUUGCCAUUGUUGGUCGAAUUCGAGGUGGAAAUGGCGGAGGCGGAGGCGGAGGAGGAGGAGGAGGAGGAGGGAGAAGAGGGGGAGUGGUGGGGUUUCUUCGGUUUGCCGACUCCUUCUUUGGCUUUGCCGAAUACGGUGGCGCACGCGACGAUGUCGAGGAGCCUCCGCACGUGCGCCGCCGCGUGUGCCUCGCACGCGUAGUCCUCUGCACGUGCGAAAUGGGCAAAAAAAAAUUCUCUAAUUAGUAACAAAGGCCCACUUAGGCCCAUUAAGAACCCAUUAAGGGGCCAUUUAGGGCCCAUUAAGAACUCAUUGAGGGCCAUUAAGGGAUUAUUAGCAAAUAUGAUAUAAUUUUUAAUUUUAACUAAUAAUAAAAAUUCAAAUAAAAAACAAUAUAUCACUUUCAAAUUAGCUGUAUUUUAAAUAUAGUCAACUAAAUUUAAAAAAUUCAAGCCAGAAAUUAUAACAAAUUAAAGUUUGAGGACCGAAAGUGUAAUUAAAGUUUUUGGAUGCACCUUAAAUUUUUUUUAUUAGGAAAUUGGUCGAAAUCAUCGAUUGUUUCGGUGACGCCUAAGACGAAAUUUGUCAAUUUUGAUUAUGACUUAUUGGCCAAUUAAAACGAAGAAUUUCUCCAAUAAUUUGCGCAAAGUUCUAAGUUUCUCUAUAUGAACAAAAGUAUUAACUCUAAUACCCUUUUCUUUUGGGUAAAUUUCAAUUUGUCCCCUGUAUUUUAGCGCACCUACAGUUUCACAGCUUUAUGGUUCAGAAAAUUAUACUGAAUUAUCUUGUAGUUUUAUUUUGAUAUAUAUAGAAUGAUAAAGUAUAUAUAUAUAUAUAUAUAUAUAUAUAUAUAUAUAUAAAGAUAGUGAAAUACUAUAAAUAAAAAUAAUACUAUAAAAUACAAAAAAAAUAAAUCUAUAAAAUAUUAUAGUUUACAAAAAAAAUAUUAUUUGAAUAUCCUGUGAUUUACAAAAAAAAAAUAUUAUUUGAAUAUCCUAUUUAACAAAUAUCUUUACAAAAAAAAUAAAUAAAAAAUAAAACUAUAAUUAAAUGUAGGUUACAAAAAAAAUAUUAGUUGUGUCAUCCUGUGAUUUACAAAAUAAAACUAUACUUAAAUGUAGUUUACAAAAAAAAUAUUAGUUGCGUCAUCCUGCGAUUUACAAAAAAAUAUAUAUAUAUUAUUUGAAUAUCCUAUUUAACAAAUAUCUUUAUAAUGCGAUAAAAAAAUAAAAUUAUAAAAUAAUUAAAUGUAACUUUUUGAAACAUAAAGUGACAAAGUAAAAAACAUGUUAACUCCAAAAGAGGCAAAUUGAACUAUUGAUUCGCCUUAGUUUGGCUGGGGAUUAAGGGGUGGAAUAACCCUUUAACCCCCAUUUUAUCUCCAAACACUUCUAAAAAUGGGUGGGGUUAGCUAACCGCACCUCAAAUGGGUUAUUUCGGAUUAGCUAACCCCACCUAACCCCACCAAACCCCAACCAAACACUAUUUUCUAUUCAUAAUAACCCACUAUCCUUCUUAUCCCACCUACUCCAACCAAACACUAUUUUUCACUAUCCUGGACUAACUCCAACCCCCAGCCAAACACAAAAAUACUCUAACCCUACCUUAACCCUAAACUUAACCCUAUCCCUGGAAUAACUAGUUUUUUCUUAACCACGAACCAAACGGUAACCUUGACCUUAAAAAAGAAAAAAAAUAAUAAUUUUUUUUAACAAAAAAGGAAAGAGAGGGGUGAGUUUCCACUUUCAUAUUUUUCACAUGAGACAAGGUACAAUUUGGUCCCAGGAACAUGGAGAUAUUUUUUCUGUGCUUCAAUGUAAAGGACUAGGGACAGAGAAGGAUAUUGUAAGCUUUUGUUUAUCUUAUUUACAAUUAUAUAUAUAUAUAUAUAUAUAUAUAUAUAUNAAUCAUAUUUUCAACACGUAGCAGUUUAAGUUUUGUUUUUUAACUUAGUCACAGAGCGUAGAACUUGGUUGACAUGAUCGUCUCACUAGCUGCGCUUUCGACACAUGAAUAAUAACCUCAAUAACAGGAGUACACCUCCCUCGUAGUAGAUCAUUGCUAGUACAGUUGGUUAAGAAUUCUAAUUUAACUGUCACUUUUUAAGCAGAAAGAUAUAUGUCCUAAAAAAUUCGUCUAAAUUGAAGUUGAAAUAUAAAACUCUUUAAUAAUAAAUACAUAUAUGAGAGACUAGAAUGAAACUCUUUUGAGAAUUUAGUAGAUCAAAUAUCGAAAUUAAAAAUGUGAGAAUUAAAUUGAAAUCGAGCUAAAAGAUCUAGCGCUGCUGGUGCAAUUUUUUCGUAAAUUUUUGUUUGGCUCCUACAAAAAGUAGGUUCAAACUCUGCUACCGCAUCUAACUUAGUUGGUUAAGAACGUAAUGGCUGGUUGGUAUCUGAAGUCCCAAACUCGAAAUCUAAUUACUUUAUAUUUCAAGCUAAGUUUAUUAUUAACUUAGUUACACUAUAGUACACUGUACUUUACAGAUUUUUUUUACUUUUUAUACUGUACUUUUUUUUUUUCAAAAACACCACUAAAUUAACUAUCAUUUUUUUUCCGAUCCCUACAAUAUAAACAAUAAACUUAUAAUUUGUAUAAAAGUUAUAUUAAAAAAUACUGGUUAAAAGUGGCAGAGCAUAUAUAUAUAUAUAUAUAUAUAUAUAUAUAUAUCAGCUAUUUUUCAUAUAAAAUAAAAAAUACAUAGGAAUAUUAAAAGUAUUGAAAAUAACUUGAAAGAAUUAUAUUCAGCUCAUAGAGAUUUAUUCAUAUUUUUGUACUAUAACUAACAUCUUUUAAUAAAAAUAUUAUAUUUUAUCUCAAAUAAUAGAUUUGUUAACAGUAAUACAGAAACCGGUAAGAAAAAAAAUUUAGUAAAUAUCUAUGAGAAAAAUAAAUAGGAUGAGAUAGAAAAGUUAAAAAUAAAUCUAAAAUACAGUGUAAAUAUUAAUAAAAUAUAAUAUAAUAAUACAAUGAUAUCUUUAAAAAAAUAUUCAAAAUAGCAAAUAAAAAAAAACUAAAAUACAGUGUAUUGGACUAUAAUUAAGCCUUUAUAUUUUUUUUUUUUUAAAAAUUGCUACUUUUCUUUCCAAAAAAAAAAAAAAAGAAAACUCAUUUCCUGAUUAUGUAUAUCAAUCAGUGCACAUAAAUAGCUAUAAAAUCUCAUUCCUGUGUACCAAAAUCAAGGAAAAUUUCAAAUACCAUCCUUGUGGUUUCACACUUUCUCAUUUUAGUACUUUAUGGUUUAAAAUGUAUCAAUUUAGUGUUUUGUGGUUUUAUUUUUAUCUUUUUAUUAUCGAUUCCACUAAUUUAUUUUGUUAAAUCAGUGACAAAGUUAAAACUAAAGGGUACUAAAGUGAAUAUUCGAUAAACCUAAGUAGGGUAUCUAAAAUUUUUUGUAUAUAAUUUAACGAACUAUUAACGGAAAAGUUGACGAAAAGAUAAAAAUGAAACCACAGGACACUAAUUUAAUACACUUUAAACUACAGAGUACUAAAAUGAGAAAGUGCAAAACCACGGGGAUGGUAUUUGAAGUUUAUCCCA
rnacentral:lncRNA from 1 species